rnacentral:lncRNA from 1 species
GUUUUUUUCGUAUACAUGGGUACAACAACUAGGAAGCAAAAAAUCUCCUACAAACUUUACAGAUACAUAAGAGCCCUGAGAAUACAAUAUGGUAUUGUUCUAACGACUCUCUGACGCUAAAUAAAAUUUGAAGAGUCCACAAACUGAUACAUAAGAUUUACAAUAAUAAGGAUGAGUAGGUUAGUGUAAUAAACUUACACUAGCAGAGUACGUUAGUGUUGAUGUUUUUAGGACCGUGGUUGGUUGUUUUAGGAUAGUCCUUGACGGAUAGGUAUUGUCAUAGUCCGUAACUAUCUUACUUUGUUAUGUGUUAUUCCGCUUUGACAUCUUUAGCGAUAAGACAUGUACUGCCUCUACUGUUAUUAAUCACAAACGCAACAAGUAAAUCAUUAAAUAAUAUACACAAAUGUUUUACUAUUUUCUAUUGUCUCUUCGAUUUAUGCACACAUUACUCACAACUAAAAAAACUUGUCCAGUUUAUAUCACCAACCAAAACUUUGACUAGUUAGGGAAAGCUAUGAGAUAAAGAAAAACUUAAGGCAAAAGACUGAAAAUUUGAUUUAAUGUAUCAUAUAUGCAAACCCAUUUGCAUUCAUAUUCUUUAAAAAAAAAAUGUAUCAUGUAUAUAUCCAAAAUUUCUUGUAUUCAUAUUUUUACAAAAGGAAAAAGGGAGUUAAUUUUAUAUCCAUGCAAUAUGCGUGAAUAUAAUUCUCUAGUAUUGAGUGUAUGUAAUUAAUAGUCUUAAAGCAAAACAUUCUACAGCUCGCUGCUGUAACUAAGCAGGGCCAUCUCUUUAUUGACAUAAUAGUAUUAAUAGGUUUUUGACCUCUGGGUCUAAAUCUACGAGUCCGCAUUGGCGCUGUCGGAGCUUUUCUCUUCCGAGGAAUGGCUGACGGAGCUUUUGCCUGCGGAUUUUGAGUGUGUCUUUUGAUAGUUGGUAGAUUGAUAGCUAGCACUGCCGGCUUGUCCUCCCAUAGAUUGGCCUCCGAAAGUUCCACCUUCCAUCGAGCUUUCACUUGCACUUCCACUUGGGCCACCCGCAGAGGGACUACCGGUUGGACUUCCACCUGUAGAAUCUGUGUAGGUUCCUCCACUCGCGCCACCGGCAGUAGCACUCCCCCCACUAGCGCUUUCACUCGUGCCACCAGCAGCAGUGCUUCCACCACUAGAACUCUCACUCACGCCACCGGCAGCAGCGCUUCCACCACCCAUUGAACUCGUUUCGGUGCUAGUUCCACUACCGGCUUCAGUUGAGCCUCCGGCAGCGGCUCCACCAUUGGCCUCAGUCGAGCCACCGGAAGCAGCUCCAGCACUAGCACUUUCACUACCAGUUGAGCCACCAGAAGCAACUCCACUGCUAGUGCUUUCACCGCCGGUUUCAGCCGAGCCACCGGAAGCAGCUCCACCACUAGCACUCUCACCACCGGAUGCAGCUCCACCACUAGCGCUUUCAUCACUGGUUUCAGCUGAGCCACCGGAAGUAGCUCCAGUGCUUUCACCACCACUUUCAACCGAGCCACUGGAAGCAGCUCCACCACUAGCACUUUCUCCACCGGAUGCAGCUCCACCACUAGCGCUUUCACCACCGGUUUCAGCUGAGCCACCGGUUUCAGGUGAGCCACCGGAUGUAGCUCCACCACUAGCGCUUUCACCACCGGAUGCAGCUCCACCACUACCGCUUUCACCACCAGUUUCAGCCGAACCACCGGAAGCAGCUCCAGCACUAGCACUUUCACCACCAGUUUCAGCUGAACCACCAGAAGCAGCUUCACCACUUUCACCACCGGUUUUAGCUGAGGCACCGGAAGCAGCUCCAGCACCAGAAGCAGCUCCACCACUAGCACUUUCACCACCGGUUUCAGCCGAACCACCAGAAGUGUCAGCGGCAGCAGCUCCACCACUAGCGGUUUCACCAGCAGCAGCACCUCCACUAUCGGCACUAGCAGCACCUCCACUAUCGGCACCAGCAGCACCUCCACUAUCGGCACCAGCAGCAUCUCCACUAUCGGCAGUUGCUGCACUUCCACUCUCCCCAGCUGCUCCAGCAGAAGAGGAAUCACCACCCAUUGAACUUUCUCCUCCGGCAGAACCAUCAGUUGUACUUCCACUAGGGCCACCAGCAGUGCUUCCACUACCAUCAUCACUUGGAUAUGAUGGACUACCUGCCGAACUUCCACUAUCACCAGUGGUGUCUCCAUAGCUUCCACCGUCCGUAGGACUCCCAGUGUCGGCGGAGGGAGAACCGCUGUCAGAGCCUGGACUUCCACUAUCACCACUGCUUCCAAGGCCAGAGCUUCCACCUCCAAGAAGUGAUGACAGAUCAAUCUUUGCGCCGUCACCAUUCUGAUCGCCAACUUUUUUCACAAAUUGACCAAUCACUUGUGCCCAUUUUGCCAUAGAUGUAACUAACUCUCUUCUUUGUUCACUUGUCAUCAUUGUUGCACCGCUCCUCUUAAAUUCAGCAAAUGUUUUCCCCAUUGACAUCAAACUCUCGAUCAAUUUGCUCGUAUCAGCCUAUCACAUAACCAAGAAUAAUUAAACAUACAAAAAAUGUAAUGCUCAAACAAUUGGGUUCGGUUAGUAACACAAAACAAUAUAAUUUUUAAGCAGUAAAUGAUUCAUAAAUAACUUAAAAAUCGUAAGAUGUAGCCAUAUAAGAUAACAAUAUCAAAAAGCUGAGAGUAAUCUUCUAAUACUCAUGUGAACAAUAAUAAAAUAUGAAAUUUACCGAUGAUCCUCCUUUGACACCCAAUGCAGAGAUAGCCUUGAAGAGGCCCUCAGCUUGUUGUUUCAUUUGAGACUGGAACUCUGAAGACGACCCUUUUGCCGUGUUUAUGAAGGACAUGAAAGCUUUCAGCUUUGAGAAGAAAUCCUUGUACUCUCCUUUUUCCGGAGCCAUAUUCUCAAGGUUAUCCACAAAACUAAGCAUACCUUUGUAAGCAAAAGGCUCAAAGUCUUGGGAAUUUUUAGGAAAUUUAUUCAUGUAAUGCCUUAAUAAGAAUACACCUUGCGCUUCAUAUAUGGUACUUGAUGCUACUAGUAUUAACAUUAGACAUAUUGCUAUAGGAAAUCUAGCCAUUGUUUUGUCAGAUAUGUAAAAGAAAGAUUUGAAGGAUUUUUUUAUUUUUUGUUUUUUAAAUUUCUAUUAUUAUUUUUGGGUUUUUGAAUGAUUUUUUUUAAUGAGAGGAUUUGGCUUAUAUAGAUGCUGAAAAUUUCUAAAUUUGAGUAAGAGAAAUUGGUGGAUCCAUUUAAGGUCGCGAGAGAAUAGCCAAAGAGAGACUAAUGGUUCUCAUGUCCCAUAACCGAUUUCGACGGUGAAUUGUGUUGCUCUUAUGGUUUAUAUCAUUCUAUAUUUAGAGAAUAAAUUACUUGUAAGUUGUAAUAUUAAUGUACUAUGCACGCAAUUUAUGUUUUGUAGAAAUGUUAGAAUCUUUUGAAUGCUUAUUACAUUCCGGUUUAUGCAUUACUUGAUUUUAUAAUUUUCAUUAGUUGAUUAAGUUUCAAAUUUAAGAUUAAAUAAUGACACAUGUCGAUGUUGUAAUCUUAUUAAUUAUUUCAUGUGUCACUCUCUAAAAGUUUUGUUGAAAUUAUAUAUUUGUAACUAGUAUAUGUAAGGCUCAUACUAAUUUAAGUUGAACUUUACUUACAAAUUACACAAUUAGUUUCUAGUCUUCCAAUGUAUAACAUGGUUUAUAUCCCAACAUAUAUAGGGUUCGAACAAUUUUGUUGUUAUUACGCAGGCAUUCAAAGUUUUUUGGAAUCAUUGAACCGCCUUGAAUAGGAGGUCAAUAUCACAGAAUAUGGAGAUUGGAGAGUUAGAUAAAGUGUGGGAUACGGGUUUUGCUCUCUAUGACUAAUUCGACCCAAACAAAGAUUGAUUAAGUCAAACAAGCAGCGAAUAUGAAAAAACGAUCCAUUAGAACAACAGCCCAUCAAGCAUGCUAGCUCGGUCCAAUGCGCUUCUGCACAAUAAAAUAAAUUUGGAAGAGUAAAAUCGAAAAACCACAAGAGAGACAAAAGGAACUCUAUGUCAGCUCUUAGCUUAUAAAUAGCACAAGACAUUGUUGGCAACAAUAUCUGGACUUGAAGUCAUUACCUAGCAAAUUUAAGAGAGAAUUGUUGCCUACCUCGUUUUAUUUCUUACUUUUCUGUUUUUCAUUCAAUAUGUCGGUUUUAUGUUCUGUACGUUAUUGUUCUCGUUCAUCAUUAAUAAAAAAAGUUGUUUCCUUCUCCCCAAAAACUUUUUAGUUAUUUAUGUUACAACUUUGGUAAAAACAUAAAGCGAAACUUUUGUGGGAAAGAUAAAGAGAGUGUGAAUGUAACAUGUACCUAAUGUUUUGCUAUAUACUUUAUAAAAGAAUAUUUCAUGAUUUAGAGGGUCUUUUAAAAUAUAUAUAUAUAUAUAUAUAUAUAUAUAUAUUUAUAUAUUAAUAAUAUCAUGUUUUUAGUAAAUAUAAAUUUAUUUAAUCUACUUUUAUAUGUAAUAUCUUUUAAUAUUAGUUAGAUUGUAUAAUAAAGAAAAUUUGUGACGACAAUGUGGGAUCAAUUUCUCCAAACUAGUUAAGAGGGUGAGUGACCAUAAGAAUAAACUCGUUUUACUUAAGCCCUGACACGAAAGAGUACAAGACUCCUAAGGGCGGAUUUUUAUCUAUUCUGCCAUCAUCAGCAAAAAAAAAAUUCUAUUUUGCCACUUUGAAAAUUGAAUUUCGUUUUGAUUUUUUUUUAAAUAGAAAAGUAGAGGGAUUUUACAAAAUAACCUUGUUAUUUUAAGAAAAUUACAUGACCCAACCACAUAUCCACAGAUCCGAUCCAUUGUCAUUGGGUUUUCCCCCAAAUCGUUUUCUUCUAACCUAAAUAAUUUUUAAAAAAAAUCAAAAUUGUCGCUUUCUUCUCCGAUUAACCUAAACGGCGAUUUUUCCGGCGAUUCUCGAAAAUUUCCGUCGCUUCUUUCCGCGAUCAGUUCACCGUCACCAGUUUCAUCUUUGCUUCUUCACCAAACAAUUUCUUGAAAACUUUUAACCUAAGUAAAAUUUUACCAAAUCAAAACUGUUGACAUCCACUUUGUUUGUUCCGUCUCCGGCGAUUCCAAAAUCAUCAAAACCGAAUUUCGCGGCCGGUCAAUAUACAUAAUUUAAAAUACAAUACUGGGCUAAGUUGUUCCAGUUGGCCGGUCAAUACACAUAAUUUAAAAUACAAUACUGGGCUAAGUUGUCCCAGUUGGCCGGUCAAUACACAUAAUUUAAAAUAUAAUACUAGCUAAGUUGUCCCAGUUGGCCGUUCAAUACACCUAAUUUAAAAUAGGAAAAUACAUGUCUAAUUAGGUUCAAAUAUUACAUAAAAUCCAGAAACAUAACAUAAUGCCAUAGACCAUCCUCAAUAACAUAAAACACAUCAUAUGAUUACCAUGUAGAAAGUAAUGCCCUAAGCCUAUCAAUCUCGACUUCUUUGGGCAGUAACCUUUCUUUAAGGGUUUCAAUUUCGCCUUGCAUAAGAUGAACAGUUUCCCGGAUAGACUCCAAAGCAUGAUUACAUGCUAGUUGUCCUUGUCUUAGUGCAGAAUCAAGUGAGUGAUUUACCUUCUCAAGCUCCUCAGUUACCGCCUGAUCCCACCACUGAAUAAGGUGGUUUCGGGACUCGUACUCUUCAUCCUGCGAAAGAGAGAAGACUUCAUAAAUAUAGGCACUUGUACUUUGUUGUUCCAAUGAAAUGAAACACAAUACCUUACUUUAAGCAUUAGGCAUUUGUACACUCUUUCGCCUUGCUUGUAACCAGUUUUGCACACUUGAAGUGUUACAGGCUUACCACAAAAACAUUUGACUGGAACACCCCAAUUUGCAUCGGCACUCGCCUCUCCACUAUUUCAACUAGCUUCGGAUGUGGAUGGUUGAGAGUAACUAUAGGGCAUCUAUAGAACAGAGAAAGAUAGACAUAUGUUACAUCGAAAUUACGGAGAAUCCCUAGAUCUACAUCGGCAUUCACACUACCCUAGAUCUACAUCUAUCUCAUAGAACCCUAGAUCUACUUCGAAAUUACGGCGGCUAGAAACCCUUUAUCAUACCUUGUUAGUAGUUGUCGUCAGCGGGGGCUGGAAACCCCUAAUUUCAGUUGUUGUCGUCGGUGAUGUUGAGAAAGAGAGAAGAACGAGAGAGAGAGAAAGUGAAAGUGAGAGAAGAGUGAAAUAGAAGAGAGAGAGAGAAAGAGAGAUGAAAUCCCGAAUAAAUAGGGAGAAACUAUGUAGUGUGAACACAAUAAUCGUAGUGUGAACGCAAGUCGUGGGGUCUAUUUUUUAAAAAUAUUAUUUAUUAGAAUAUGCAGAAUAUACAUAGUUGUAUGUAUAUGUACAGUUGGCCGGAUUCACAAACAGUUGAACUAUUCUAAAUUUUAUGUUUUUGAAGUUGAACCUCAAAAACCAAUUCAUUUUUUUAGUUGGUCCCAUAAGUUUUAACAUAUUAAUGACUUUUAAUAAGUUUUGAUAGAAACAUAUUUAAGAAAUAUCUAUUUUCAUACAUAAUGUAUGUACAUUGGACAAUCAUGAACUAAAUGUUCCUUGUUAUACAUAGGUGAUUUAUUAGGAAACCUUAAAGUUUAAUAAUAACAAUGUUGUAAUAUCAUAUUUUAGAUUUAUUCAAUGUUUAGUUCUUGUUAAUAGCUGAAAAUAAUGAGAAUUAUUUAUUAAUUUUGUUAACCCUAAAAUACAGAUACAUAUAUCAGUUGUCUCAGUUGAACUUAAAAAAAUACAUUAAACUUGCAAGAAUUCAAUAAACUUGCACAUAUUCAAUACAAAUACGAAAACAUAAAAAAGAGUUGUCGAAGUUUAAAAUAGUACAUCAUACUUGCAAAUAAUAUAAUACAAAUACAAGUGAACUCAGUUGUAUUGGUUGAACCCUUUCUGCAGUUGGCCAGGUUGUUCCAGUUGAACCCUUUCUGUAGAAGACUUAAUCAAACUUCUUCAGGCUGCAGCCAAGCCUCCACUGUUUGUAACUCAAUUUCACCUUCCUUGAGGUUUCAUCUAUUCCAAUCUUCUUGCAUAUCUUUUCUACUAACAUAGAGUAUGUUACCUUUGACGUCCUCAACAAUACACCGCUUAAAGAAUUGUUUGAAAUCUACUCAUGCUCUUCUGAAUAAUACUCAUUGUCGAAUUGUAUGAAUGUGUGCUUGUUCUUCAUCGUCUCCUGUAACUACAAAUAAAUUAUUAAAACACAGUUACGUAAUCAUUCAGAUUUAGACAUAAUUCACUAAUACCGUUUGUACCACAUGUCCUAUUGUUUGUACCCCUUGUACUAUUAUGUCUCAUUGUUACCAUUUGUCCCAGUUCGUCAAUUCUGGGUUUUACAAAUCGUUAAUUUCGAUUGAACACUUACUGAACUCUCUGAUUCAAAACGAUACAACAGCCCAGAAUCAACAAUACAACAAUUUUAUGUUAUUAACAACUAACUCGAACAAAAAAUUCACAUUAAUCUACAAAUCAAAAGGAGAUCAGAUUUACUUUUGCUGGUGAGGAGGAAGCUAAUUUUGGGAGCAGAUUUUCAUCUUGGAAGCUACGAAGACCUCGAAAACUAACUCGUCGGUGAAAUCAGAGCUCAAGUCGCCGCCGAAAUCGGAGCUCAAGUCGCCGGCGAAAUCGGAGCUUUAGUGGUCGGAGGUCCGUAUAAACACGAUGCAGAAAUGAAAUGGAAUUAACUGUUUUCUUUUUUUCUUUUUUUACUAAUUCUUCUCAGUUAUUCAUUAAGGACAGAGGGGUAAUUGCACACCAAAGAGUGGUACUCAGAAUAAAAAGUGGUACGUCAGAAUUGUUUUUCAAAAAUGAUGGCAGAAUAGAACGUGGCUCCCUAAGAGCAUCAUUAUUGAUGGUAUUUUAGCCAAAUCUUAGGCUAAAAUUUGUGAAGAAAGAGCUUUUAUAUAAGAACUUUUAGACUUAUAUAACAGCUUUUUUCACAAAUCUUAGCCUAAAAUUUUGCUAAUAUAUUUUAUAUAGGAUUUUUUGUGGACACAAUUCACUACACUAACGAAAUUAUAGGACUUAUUUCUUGGAAGAGGAAAAAUAUUCAAAAUCCCUUUAAUGGGUCUUACACUUCUGUAUAUUAACAUACAGAGUGCUUAGUCUAUCUUUAUUUUUUACAUAGUUUUUUUAACUUGCUUACGUCGGUUUAUAGGUAUACCGAUCUUAGUUUUAUUUAAAACCAAAAACAAAAUCUCUACUUAGCUACUAAAUAUAAUAUUUUUGGGCGGUACUAGUUUGUCUUUCUUGCUGGUUUAUGGCUCAUUGAUGUAGCUUUGGCUUUGUACUCAGUUUUUCAUGGCCAUCUUUGCACUUCCCUGAGAGGAAGAAGAAGACGAAGAUGAAGAUGAAGAUGAAGAUGAACUUGAAGAAGCAGCCGUCUCAACGAAUUGGGUUGUGACUUGUUCCCACUUGGUGAUUGUCUGCUUAAGCUCUGUCUGUUGUGUUGAUGUCACUGUCUUGCCACUCACGAUUUGACUGUUGAUGUCUUGUAGUUCCUUGAGACUCUGCAUCACUUCUUGUUGGCAAGAUGCCAUGGAGGUCUUGGUCUAUAUUAACAAAACAAGAAAACAAAGAUCAUUUUGUUUCAAUCUUUAAAAGAAUCAUAAUAUUAGAGUUUGAAGUAUGGUUUCGUUUUACGCGUACCUCUUCGGAUUUGCUAAACCUUGAACUCACGAACAUCAUUGCCUCAGCUAUUUUUGAAGCAGCAGAUCUCAUCCCGGUGACCAAUUCUUUUGCGUUUGAGGUAGAUAGCUUUGCGGAAGCAGACAUGGAAGUCUUUAGCUUUUCAAAGAAGACCUUGAGCUCUGAAUUUCCAGUGUACUUCUUCUCCAAGUUAGAAAUGAAAGAAUUGACUUCUGAGGAAGUUUGUGUCUCAACUUCUUUUACUGAUGUGGUGGAUGAGCUACUAGAUGAACUUUUGCUGUUGGACUCUUUCUUUUGAGAAGCAGCACUUUCUUCAGCACUUGCACUAGCACCAGCACUUGCACUUGCACUUGCUCCAGCACUUGCACUUGCACUUCCUUUCGAAGAGGCUUUACCAUCAGUAGAAGUUGAGGGAGUAGGGCUGCCACUGGGACUUCCGCUCGGACUUCCCGAAGAUGUACCGGUAGUGUCUUUGUAAGUGUCUCCAGAGCUUCCUUUGUUGGUUUCUUUUGUCUUGGAAACACUUCCGCUAGCAGCACUUUCACUUUCACUCUUAGAAUUAGAUUCUUUUUUCAUCGAAGCACUCUCACUUCCUUUCUCAGAGGUUUUGCCAGCAGCAGGAGUUGAAGGGGCUGGCGUAGAAGGGGUAGGUGUAGAAGGAGUGGGCGUAGAAGGAGUGGGUGUAGAAGGAGUGGGUGUAGAAGGAGUAGGUGUAGAAGGGGUGGGCGUGGGGCUUCCACUUGGACUGGCGCCUGAAGAUGAACCAGUAGUGUCUUUGUAAGUGUUACCAGAACUUCCACCGCUGACUUCUUUUGUCUUGGCUGAAGAAGAACUUUUGCUACCAGCCUCAGUUUUUGAUCCGGUGUUAGUUUCGAUGCUUCCAGCCGUUGAUUCACUUCCGGAUUUGCUGGACGUGCCUUGUGAUUUGGUGUUUGAGGAACUCUCAUUAUCGGAUGAAGAGGAGCCAUCACUUCCACUAGAACUUCCAAUGCUGGCAUUAACAUCAACAUCAAGACCGUAAGACGAUUCAUCAAUCGACUUUCCUCUCUUCUCGGCGACACUCUUUACGAAUGUUAUAACCAUUCGAGUCCAUUUCACCAUAGCCACAACCAACUCUUUCUUUUGCUUCAAUGACAUCAUCCUUGAACCUUGCCUCUUCUGCUCAACCAAAGUCUUUCCCAUUGACAACAUGGUCAUUUUUAACUCCGACUGUCGUGUAAAACAAGGAACAUUUAGGUUUAGAAAACACAACAAAUGUUUUUUUUAUAUCUUAUGAAUGUUUUGGUAUUAGACUUACUGAUUGGCUGCUUUUGCUUCCAGUCAAUGCAGACAUAGCCUUGGAAAGCAAUUCACAUCUCCCAUUCAUCUCCACAUCGAUGUUUUUCGAUGCGGAUAUCGAUGCUGAGCUGAUAAAGCUCAUGUAAGACUUGAACGUUGAAAAGAAUUGUUUGAACUCUCUAGUUGCGGGACAUCCACCUUCAAGGUUGCUCACGAGCAUCAACAUACCUUUGCCAGCAUAAGGGGCAAAGUCGAUACAACGUCUGGGAAACUUCCUCCUCAAGUAAAGCUUUAACAAGAAAGUCCCUUGCACUUCAUAAACCACACUUGAUGCAACCAUAAACACCAGACAUAUUGCUAGUAAAUUUUUCGCCAUUUUUUUUAUAUAUAAGAAAAGUUAAAUAGAACAGAGCAAGACAAUUAUUUUUUUUUCUUUUUUUUUCUUUUUUAUAUAUAUUUUUGUCUUUUUUUUUGAUUUUGGAAUGAUUUUUGUUUCUAGGAGAAACUGGGUUUAUAUAGAUGCUUAAGAAGUCUAUUUUUAAGUUAGUGCGAGUAAAUAGUGGAUUGAUUUAAGGUCACGAGAGAAUAGCAUAAUAAGAGGUUCACAUUUUAAUUUACUUUCUAUUUUUACGGCAAUUUAUGUUGCUGUGCGCAAUUCUCUUCAAUCUAUAUUUAGAAGGAUCAAAUUAUUGACACUGAUUAAUUCGAACCCUUGACUACUUCAUCACACUAAAAAAUGUGAUAUAAUUACAUUUCUGACUUUAAAUUAUUGGUGUAGAUGCUACUGGCAUGUAACUUGAAUUGCCAUGUAAUGUAAAAAUAUUCAAACGGAAGACCUUGACAAAUUUCAUCUAUUCAUAUUCUGAAUAUCCAAAUUAUGUGUAAUUUUUGUUUAUUAUGUCUCUCAUUAAUUACAAACUAUUGUAGUAAUUAGAAAAGAAAUUUUUACAUUAGCGGAUGAAAAAAAAAUUGCUCUCAUGGUUUGUCAAAGUGAGAUAUGGUUUUCCGUUUGUCUUUUCAAUCGUUUUUAGACCAAAAUACUUUUAAUGAGAGCAACCAAACCGCACAGCAGUUGGUUUUGGUUUAGUUUUGUAAAAAAAAAAAAAAAAAAAACUGAAACGAAGAAACCGAAGAAGAAGAAAAAGAGAAAGAGACAGAGAUAUUUGAGAAAGAAGUGAAAAGAAGUUCAAAAUUCAUUAUCCACUCCUUCAUAUUUCAACAUCUCUCCAUUGAACUCCAAAAUUGAAGAACAAAUUUCUUAUUUUCACAGAUGAACAAAAUGCAAAAAAAAAAAAAACUCAUAAAUUCAAUCACUUUAGCUUUUUAAACUAAUAAUAUUCUAGGUUUACAAGAUUUAUUUAUAAAUAGUCAUCAAAACGUAAAAAGAAUGAGAUUUUGAGAAAACUACUAAAGACGGCCGCAAAAUUAGGUUUGCAGAAAAGAAUACACAAGUUGAAGAUGACUGGAAAAUUACAAUUAUACCCUUCAACAAAAAAAUUCUAUGUACGUAUAUUCAAUUUACAGUGUACGUACACGAAAUUAUUUAUUGGAACGUAUAUAGUACGAUUUCUAAUAAGUCAAACUAUUUUUGUACGUAGUCUUAUAUCUCAAUAAUCUCCAUACAUACAUAAUAAUUAAAUAAAAAUAGAUGGUGAAAUAAUGUUUGUUCCUCAUAUUGAAAAGUUAUGUACGUUUAUGUGUAAUAAUGUACGUACAUUUUUGUUGGUAAAUUAAUGUAUGUACAUGUGUAAUAAUAUACGUACAUCUUUGUUUUUGAAUUAAAUUAUUAAGAAAAAAUUAUUGAUACAAUAUUAAACCAAUAUUAGCAGUGGCUGAGAUAUAUUCUAAGACGUUUAUACGAUGUGAUUUUGAAACAUUCUGAAUUCUUGACGACUUGAGCAGUCAAAUGUCAUGGACAAGUAUCAUCAACGCAUACCAUCUCCAAUCUUAUAGGACAUGAUCUAGGUUGCUUGUAGCAAAAAGAUUGUUUGAUUGCGAGAUAAGACAUUGUUUGUUGUAUGACUUUUCUGUUCUUAAAAACACUUUCCAAUCUAUAGUGUACGUACAUUGGUACAAACCAUGUUGACACAUACUUCUUGGAGUCACAGCUGGUGUACGGUCACCCAAGUGAAAAAAGUUAUCUCCGUCAGGUACACGCUGACUUGUGUACGUACACUCUGCCAACAGACGACUGAAUUCCCCUAGAUGUUGAACAGUCAGUUGUGUGAGAAUGACGUUCUCCUCAACAUUCCCUAUUUCAUAUUCUUCUACAGUUACAUCGUUCCACUUAUUGUAAUCAUAAUCUUCGCCACUACUUUCACUACCAUCAAUAGUAGGAUCGAGGGUACUUCCCUCCAUAGAUCCAUCGUCACCCUGAUAAUCAUCAUACCCAUCACUAUCUUCGUUGUUCCCCUCCUUUUCAUCCUCAUCUGUUUUAUCGUCUUCAACGUCGUCUUGCUCAUCUACGGCCUCAUUAUUUUCAUCAACAUUUGAAACAUUAUCACACACACGGUCACUUUCAGCAUCGUCACCAUGAGUCCUAGAGAUAUCAUUCCCGAGUGUCUUGACGGUUGUAAUGAAAAAGACAAACAAGUUGAGAGAAGGAUACCGACCACGAAUCAAAAAGAACGUAUCCAACCCCACUUGACUGUCAAUGUAGAUAGGAGGGCGUUUAGUAUCUAUAAUCACUAACAUCUUUCCCGACAUCGAGUAACUAAUUAUGUGAUUGAUCUCUGUGUACUUCAGACUGAAAGCCUCGCUUAGUGUACGUACAAAUUUUGUGUACGUCAUGUUUUCCUUAACACGUACACAACGACCAAACAUGUCUUCUUUUGGUUCAAAUUUCCAUUCUUCUUCUUUGCAUCUCCACUCUCCGACCAUAGUAAAUACGUGAAUAUCCAUUACCCAACUGCAUCAUAAAUUCAGGAGAAACUCAUUAAAUGCAACAUAAAACAUGAUUAUAUCUACAAAAACAAAUAGAAUUUUGAUAUACACACUUAUAAACAUAUAUAUUUACACAUUUAGCAUUUUCAACCAACAAAAUUGGAAAUAAUAAAUUUUGGGGGUUUUCUAUAGAAAACAAAGUUGAUUUCGAACACAAUGAAGAUCUAGUGUGUUAUAACAAGAAAAAUCUUUAAACUUCAGUACUUACACGAUAAUGUUUAUCUUGGCUCCAAACUUCUAAAUAAACAAGAUCAACACUUCUUGAGCAUCAAUGUACGUUCGCAAUUAAUGUUUGUUCCUGAGUUCAUCUUUAACUCAACACUUAUUAUAAAUAAUUUUAUAAUAUUAUAACAUGUAAUGAUGAUUUUGCAUUAAUUAUGACAAGAGUCACGUCUAAACUUUUUGGGCCAUUAAAUGUUGAUGUCACUUCGUUUUUAAUGGUAAAAAUCUCCCUUCUAACUGUAUAGCCGCGCUUCUCAACGUGAAACAAAAAUAUCUCCAACUAAACCGGAACAGUUUACCUAACUAAACCUGACUAACUAAACCAUAUAUUCAACAGUUUCUCAACUGUAGCAGCAAGGGCAAAAGAUUCAAAUUUCAGUUAAAAAGACAAAACGUGAAAACCACUUUUGACUUUACCAAUCCCUAAAAAUAAAAUAUAGUCAAAAGGUGUGGCCGCAAAUUACCCUAACUAGAAUUACUGAAGAGUGGAGAGUAUCCGUGCUAUGUGCUGAUUAUUCAUAUAUUUUCUGACAUCAAUUUUUGGCUACAUUAUAUUUUAUAUUGGUUUUCACAUUAUAUUAAAGAAAAUGUAAAUUAUAGAUCUAUUCAUUUGUGAAACAACGAUUUCAUGAUAAUACAAUUUUUAUUUAUUUAUAUGUAAUUGAUAGUAAAUCAAAUAUAUAAAGGCUGGAGUUGUUAUGUAUCGUAAAAGAUGAUCAGCGAAACAUUUCAUAAAUAGGCAAAAGAUAAUUAUUGAUUUGGUAUUUUGUGAAUAAUAAUAGAUGAUGUUCGGUGCUAUGUAAGGAAACCCAUUUUUUUAAGAAUAUUAAAUCAAUUACGAUAUUUUUAUUUUAUAGUUAGAUACUGGUAAUGAUAUCAAACAUGUUAGUUUAAAUUUUAUUGGUAGGCAUAUAGUAGAUAUUUGAAAUUUUAAAUAACAUUAUAUUAUGUAAAUUUUAGUUUUUACAUAUUAUACUAGAUUUUAACCUGCGGAACGAUUUAUUUUUUAAAAGUAAUAUAUAUUAAUACUUGCAAAUUUUAUUUUUAUAAAAUAUUUAUAUCUUACAGUUUAUAAUUGUUAUUAAGUAACGCUAUAUCACGAAUCCAAAAGACAAUUGUUUAAAAACUGAAGUUUUAACCCCUAUUAAAACAGCAUAUUAAUAAUAUUUUAAAAUUUUAUAAACAUUGAUUCAAAUACAUCCACCAUAUAACCCAAUUCCAAAAUAAAAUCCGUUCUGUAAUUUCUUUACCUGUCCCGUAAAUUUUUUUUAAAGUAGUAAUUUUUAAAUUUAAGAAUUAUUUUAUAUAUAUAUAUAUAUAAUUUUUGCAAAUUAUAUAAUUCUCUAAUACAUUUAUAUUUUAUAGUUUAAUUUUAUAUAUGGUAACAUUAUACAUACCACAUAACAUUUUUGUUUUUUUAUAAUCUUUUCUAAAUUAGGAUGAUUUGAUAUGUUUAAUAUUAGUGGUCUUAAAAAAUAAUAAAUUAAAGAUUUAACCUGUAUUGAAACGGUGGAUUAAUUAUAUUUUACUUUUUUAUUAAUGUUGAUUCAAAAACCCGUCCCACCAAAUCCGUCUUGCCAAAAAGCCAUUUAUUUUAUUAAUUUUAAUUUUAUUAAUGAUAUGACUCUGAAUUAUCAUCUAAACAUUUUAGCUAAUAACAUAGGAGUGCACUAUAUUUAUUUAAUAGGGAAUGUACCAUAUGAUCCGAAUGCAUUUUUACCCAAAUCCACCAAAAAAGUCUUGCAAAAAUACUAUAGAUAUAAGAAACGAUAGUCGGUUUUGAUAGGUAUAAGAUUAGCAAAUAUAUUAGUUAGCUUAAAUUAGUUAAAGAUUACAAAUUGAAAAGGUAUAUUACACUCUAUUCGAAUAUAGUAUCAAAACUUAUAUAACACAGAGAUUUGAUAAUUUUUUAAUUGUUGAAUACUUUUUUUUUGUGCUAAUUUUUAUGUGAUUAAGAUUUAAUUGAGUUCGUAUAUAAAAUAUUAAAUUGUUUUACGAACUUAUUUGUUUAUAAUUUGGUAACAGAUAGAUAUUCGAAUAUUCAGUAUAUUUUGCUUCAGUUUAGGAAAUCUUUGAUGACCUGUCUUUAGAUCCAAUAAGCCCUAUAAUCUAGAUAUUAACCUGCAGUAUACCGCAGGUAGGCUUAUAUUUUACUUAAACUAAAAACUUUUAUUGGAAAGAUGAUUUAAAAAUAUAUGAUAUUAUUUUAUUUGAUUUUAAAUGUAUAGUAAACUGUGAGUUGUAUAUGUUUUGUUGAUAUUAUCCAUAUUGUUUAGUGUUUAAGAUUAUACACUUGUAGUUUGAUUGUUAAUUUAAGAGUUUCACCUGUAGUAUACCAUCUUGUAUUAAUAUCGAUAUAAACCCGUCAAUUCUAGGAUUUUCCAGCUUGUAUUAAAAAUUGAAUCACAUCAUAAACAUAAAAAAAAUCUAAUAUGUUAUUAAUUAUUGUAGUAUAUAAGAUUAUAAAUUUUCAAUAUAAUAUGUAUGAAAUUGAAUAUAAAUAUUUCAAAUUAUGACCCGUUACUCAGUAGAAAGUUUUCUUAAAUCUAUUUUUCACGCGUUAAAAAUAUUUUUUCAUGUAUUGAACAGUUUAUAUUCGUUUUUAAAAAUUCAAAUUAUGGCAUAUGCAAAAAAACUCUAAUUCUCUUUUUAUAAUAAUGAUAUUAUUUUUUCGCAAAAAUAGAAUCAUAUAAAGAUGAGAAGUGAACUAUAAUAAUAAAUAAAAAAUUAAUAUGAUAAUUUAGAUAUCAAAUCUAAUUUGUUGAUUUUAAUUGGUUACUUUUUUGGAAAUUAAUAUUGUAUUUUGUUUUUCUAAUUAAAUUAAAUUAAUUAAAAUUUAUAUAUCAAAUCUUAUAUGUUGAUUUUUAUUGGUUAUUAUGUUUGGAAAUUAAUAAUGUAUUUUCGUUUCUUAAUUAAAUUUAAUUAAUUAAAUUAGUAUUUGACUUUUUAAUCCUUAAAGAGAUAAAUUAAUUACUCUUUAAAAUUUUAUUUCUAAUGGCAUACCUAUGUAAUUACUUACACAAAUUAAUGUUACAUUUAAAAUGUACUUCCCAAAUAAUAUAGUAGGAUAAAAAUUUAAUUUUCAAAUGAUAUUCUUUACAAAAAGAUUAUCUAAAACUAAAAAUGAAAACAUCAUUUUUUAUUUUGUAGCGAGGUGGAGACGUCGGUAUACAGGGCAGUUGCAAGGCUAAAGUCUGUAAAGCAUGGACUUUAUGCAGCAAAUGAGUAAAAAGAAAUUAGAGUGGUUAACACUUUCACUCUCUCAAUAGAACUGUCAAGUUUGAACCUUCUGAAUGUACAUUGUAUUUAUUUUAUAUUUACUGUAUUUAAUAAAGGGCCAAAUUUUAUUUUAUUUUGCUUUAAGCAGUAUUUUAUCUUGGAUGGACCCUGUUGGUAUGGUUCCUGGUAGAUUUUCCUUCUUGUCUCUUGCAUCCUCUCUUGGUCCAAAUACCUUUUAGGAACUCGAUUCUUCAUUUUUUUAUUUUUUUUUAAUACCAGGAGGUUCUAAGCCAAAAUCCGUAAUUCUCCUAGGUGCGAAACCGCAACAUGUAAUAUUAGUUUCGUCUCAAGCGUCACUCGAACCGACGACCUCUAAGCUUCGCAUGGGAUCUUUACUAAUUGAGCUAACGACACUAAUAUUACGUAAAGUGAAUGAAACCUAAAAAAUGCAAUGCAACAAUAUACACUAAAUAUGAUUAUAAAGUGAAUGAAAACAGUGAAAAAUAUUAACAUAAUGCCUUUAAACCACCCAAAAAACACAAGAUAUCUGUGUUCAACUAAAAUCUUAGGAAAGUUUUAGGACGUUCGUACAUUGUUAAAUCUCGUUAAAAGUUAUUAUGUCGUUUGCCUUUUAUGGUCUUAAACAUAUUCUUCUUAGUUUAAUUUCGAAGAAGACAAAAAUAUCAAUAAAAAUCAUCGAGUGAGUUCACUCACUUCUGACUGUUUGUUACAAUAUAUAUUUACAUUUACAUAGUUAUUCCUUGUAUAGAUCGCUCGACUGAUCUAUGGCUGGCCUAUACAGAUAUUGGUUUUAUUUACAACAAAAACAAAAGUAGUAUUAACAUAGGGCAUUAUUUUAGUUAUGCCUUUGAUUUCAAUUUGUGUUCAUUUUGCCAACAGAAGAUGAAGUAGUUGAUGAUGACUUUGUCUCGCUCUGAAUAGCGGUCUCUACGAAUUGGGUUGUGACUUGUUCCCACUUAGUAAUUGUUGUCUUAAUCUGUGUUUGUUGUGCUGGUGUGCAUGUCAAAGAUCCUUCUUUCUUGCCUUGGUUCUGACUCACAAUUUGACUGUGGAUGGUAUCUAACUCUUGAAGAGUUUUCAUCACUUGCUCUUGGUAAGUUUCCAUAGACUUUUUAACCUGUGGACAUAGCACAAAUUUUUUAAAAAAAAUAUGUUAAUGGAUAUUGUUGUUGUAUCCAUUUGAAGGAAAAAUUCUUAUAUGCACUACCUCUGCUGAUUUGCUUCCAAUUCUAGACCGCAUAACUCCCAUCGCACCCGAUAGUUUACCAGCAGCAGAUUUAAUCCUAGAAAAUAAACCUUUUCUUUCUUUGGGGGGAGCAAUCAUUGUACCCUUGAGUUGCUCGAAGAAGACCUUGUAUUCCUCCUUUUGUGGACACUUCUUUUCGAGGUUCAUUAUGAAUGUCGAAACAUCUUUGGACGUCUCUUCCUCGACUUGUGUCACUGUUACACCACUGCUCUGACUAGCGGAACUUUCUUCUUUAGUAGCGCUUGUAGAGCUUCCACCAGCACUUUUUGAAGAGGAAGUCUCACUUUCACCUUUAGCGGAAGUCUUACUUUCACCUUUAGCGGAUGUCUCACUUUCACCUUUAGCGGAACUCUCACUUUCUUUACCAGAGCUUUUGCUGUUUUCGCUGGAAGCUUCUUUCCCAACACUAGACUCUUCAUUGGAAGAAGCAGAGUUGGUUGUGCUCGAUACCAUUGUGUUUGUGAUCCGAGUAAUGAUUGUUUCCCAUCUUAAGAUCCCUUCUUUGAUUUCUUUUUGUUGUUCUGCUGUUAGCUUCAUUGAUUCCUCGCUCUCCUCCUUUUUGCGGCUUCCCACAAUUUUAGUCGCAAGAAAUCUCAUAAACUUAAAGGUAUUAAUAACUUCCAUUUUAUCCUCUUGAAUUUCCUUUUUUAUCUGUUAUACAUAUGCAAGUUUAAGUAAAUUAAAUUGGUUCAUUAACAAUAUAUCUUCACGUUGAAGAAACAUUUACCUUUCCAAUCGCAAAAGAAGAUAUGACUUGGAAGAGGCCUCCAGCCUUGGCCUUCAUGUCUCGGUCGUAAUCUACUUGGUCUUUUCUUUUUAUUGGGCAGACAUACUUGGCGAAUGCCCUAAGUUUCUCAAAGAAAGCCUUGAAUUUAUUUGUCUUGGGACAUUCUUUCUCGAGGUCGGACACAAAGACUAUCACUACUUUAACGGUGUAAGGUUCAACAUCCUUCAACGUUUGUGGAGGUUCAAUCUGAGGCAAAGUUGGCUUAAGCUUCAAAUGAGCUGAAACGAUGUCCAGAAGAGUCACUGAUGCAAAAAGAAUGGUAAAGCAUAAAAAUAGCUGAACUCUUGCCAUUGUUAUAUAUCUUGUUAGAAAUAAAAGUUGAAGAAUGAAGGAAUUGAAAUGGGAUUUUUUUGUAUACUUUUAUAGUUAUGUUUAGUGUUCUAUGUUUAGGAUUACUGAUCCCCUGACCAUUGGUAAAUUGGUGGAUUAAAGUCAUAAAUAAUAGUAAAGAGCUUCAUGGUUCUUACGUUUCACAAAUCUAUUGAUGGUGAAGUCUUUUGCGUUUGAUGUUUUUUGUAUUAGUUUUAUAAAAAUUGACUUUUUAUAUAGAAGGUUUAUAGAAUGAAUACAUAUGAAGGCUGGUUCUGGUUGGUUCCCCUAUCUUUGACUUCUACUUGAUUUUAUCACAAACUGUGUGUGGUAUCAUUCGCCGCCAUAUUCAUUCUCUAUAUUCGACUAAUACGGUGAUUUGAUAAGCAAGUCGGAACACACUCUCUUCAAUAAAACAGAUGGGGGAUAGGAAAUAUGAUAAGGGACUCCAAAUGUGGUUCGUAUCAAGAACUUAACCUCUUUUGAUCGUUAAACUGUUAGCCAUUUUUCAUUUUAAACACAUGUCGUAUUAGUUGUAAAAACGAUAUUUUUUCUUUUUAAAUAUAAUUUAACAUUACAUUCAAAAAAAAGAAAAAAAAAAAAGACAACUCUCUCGUUAAGCAAACUUUGUGAUACCCUAAUUAUUAUAGUUUUUGUUAUGAAAAUAAAUAUAAAUUAAAAGUACAAAAAUCUAAAUAUGCUAUUGAAAGAGAUCUCUACAACUCCACAAGAUUACAAGCUAGUUCCUUUUGUUUGGAAUUUUUUUGCGUUUCCCACGAUGAUAAUAUGAUUCACUAGUUGCAUGGUUUAGAAUAUAUGGUAGGUCUCGGGACAUUUAGCAGAAAUCAAUAAAUUAAUUGUGAGACACAAUGUCGAGGAUGUGGAAACGGAAGAAGCAGGAACUAUUAAUAGUGCUUUCUUUGAUGCCUUCACAGUGAUGUGCCUAGACUAAUUAAACCGGUGGCGUAACUAGGGCCCUUGCCCUUAUCACAAUGAAGAACACACGACUCUUUGCUUUCGGCACUAAACCAUUGGCGUUAUUGGACAUAUCUUUGGCUCCGAGUGUUUUCAUGUCGAUGUUAAUUUUUGGAAAAUAAUAUUUGUUUUGGAGACUAGGUAAUGGGUCGAUUCAGUAAAGAGAACAAUAGUUAAGGUUUAUACGGUCUAGAUAAAAACUCACCAAAUCAUAUAUAUGAAAGUUGGUCAACUCUCUCCAUAAGAUUGCUACAUCAUCACUUUAACAUUUGUCAUAUGUUUAUUAAUUAAUUAAUGUAAGCUUUUCAACUUCUAAUUUAUAUGUUAAUGAUACAUUUAUUAUUUAAUUUUAUAUAUUAUUUUAUUUUACAUAUUUAAUGUACUAUUACUAAAUUUAAUUAAACAUUACAUGAUUUUUCAAUAAAACCAUUUUAAUAACUUUUUCAUACUUGAAGAUUUUUUUGUAAUCCAAACUCAAAGUAUGAGUAUAUAAUAAUCGUGGAUUAGUUAAUGAUUUGAGUAGGUUAUUCUCUUAAAUUGAUAUUUAUAUAAUAAAUCACCGAAGGUGCAUAAUACGUACAAAGCUCCAUCAUCAAAUUCUUAGGUUUCUAGAAUCGAACACUAACUUCUAUUAAAUUAGUUUAAGAUGAACGUUAUUUAUGAAUUAUGUGUAUGAUGAAAUAUUGAGAAUGUUUUUAGAAAAAAAUAUUUUAAUACUAAAAAUAAUUUUUUUUGCAUGAGUGAAUGAUUAGAUAAAUAACAAUUAUUUAAAUUAAACGAUACAAAAAAUCCGAAAAAAACACGGCGUAGCGCGGGUGAUCACCUAGUAGUUUUAAACAUGAAACUAGUGAAGCCAGCCUUGGUUCGUGUUGUCCAUAGACCCGGUGAGUCUUUGAUGCCUCGACUUCUCUUUUUUGGUCCUCCUUUGCAUAUUUUUUCAGAGCAUGGCUUAUUCUGUAUGCAUUUUUUGCCUCUGGUUUCUCGUUGAACAUUGAUUUUAUGGAAAUCAUGUCUCUGUUGGCAUCUUCUGCUUGAGGACAAUAGCAGGAUUAUUAGGAGCGUGUAUUUCUUGUGGCUGGUCAAGUUCUCUCGUCGAUCCGGUUGCUGUUUUGCUUCGUUGAGUAGUUGUUGUGUUGUUGGAUAAGUUGAGGAUUUAGCUAUCGGUGGUAGCUAGCUUUCCUCUCCUUUUGAGAGCUCCGCAAGUAUUUCUUUUCUUGGGUUUUGUUCAUGGCUUGUUCUCUGUUAUGGCUUCCUGUUGUUAGUGUUGUUGUUUGAAGAAUGCUUUGAUUUGCGUACUCGCUUAUUCCUUGCGUCUUGGUUUUGCAUUAGAGGAGCUAGUAGGGCUAAUGGCUCUCGUGUGGUGCUGAAUGGACUUUUCUUGCUCUGCGCUGCUGACUUCGAGGAACGAACUUGGUAGAGAGAGCUUGCACCUUUUGUUUUUUUUUGGCGUGUGAGGUUCCUUUCAAGGGAAAGCUCAUGGUUUGCUAACAGUUGACGGCUCAGUAAAGGACCUUUUGCGAAAGGUUUCUAUAGCUGUUGGUCAAUCGCAUCAAGGUGUUUUUGAAUCUGCUUUUGCGCUUCUCCUUUUGCAUCUCACCCGGGAAGGAUAACAAGAAUGUCAUCACUUCAUCUUGCUCCCAAAGCUUCAUUGCUUGCUUGGGUAGAUGGACGGAAAACUUGGUUUAAAUACCAUCUUAUGCUUCCUUGUUUUAUCUUGUGUGUCUUGGAACCAUAUGUAUAGGUUUUCAAUCUUUCGAUUGCAACCUAAACUAUUUUUAUAUCUAUAAAAUAUUUACAAUUUAGCAAAAAAACUAGUGAAGUGUUAUUAUAGAGGGAGACACAAACAAAUUCCAAACAUAUACAGUAUAAGGAAUUUACUUGUAAUCUUUUAGGGGUCCCCUUCUUUUUAAUUAAGUGAUUUCAGUAUUAGCGCUAUAUGUGAAUUUUUUUACUAAAUAUUGGCGGUCAUAGGGUCCCCAAGAGAAUUUUAGCUUCCCGCUUAGUUAAUUUUUGAUUUAGUAUUUUUAAAAUGCUAUAAUAUAGUAACUGAAAUCCGAAUUUUAUUUUUAAUAGUAGUUACGAAAUUGUGCUAUCGUCAUGUGCUAUGAAUGUUCAUAUUUCUGGUUUUAUAUAAUAUUCAAAAAAAAAAUUGCACUUCAAUUUAUUUUUAAUUCCAAAAAUAUAUUACAGUAAGGGGAUUACUACAAAUAUAUAUUUCUUACAAUUUUAUAGAAUAGUAGUGCCAAAAUGAUAAAAUUUAAAUGGAAAACUAAAAGAGUUCAUCAUCAAUGAUCAAGUGAAACGUAAGAUAUUAAGAGCAUCCCCAACGGUGGGCUUUAAUGAGUCCCUUUAAAAAGAAAAAAGAAAUUAAUUAAAAAAGUAAGAGAGAGAAGAGGAAAAAGAGAAAUGAGUCCCUAACGAGAGGGCUUUGCUUUACUGGACUAAGAAACCCACUUUACAUGUGGAAAAAUAUUAUUGAUCAAUUUUUUUAUUUGUAACUAAAAAUAUAAAUAAAUAAUAAAAUUAUACUUAAAUAAUUAAAAUAAUAAAGAUAAGGGAUUGGGAAUGUAUUUUACCGUUGGGUUUGCUCUAAGAACCACGAAACUCUUUGCUAUUAUUUUGACCAAAUUCUCAAUGGUGAAAGGGUCAAUAAUUCUAAACAUAGAACACUUAACAUAACUAUAAAGCAGACACAAAAUUCCAUUAUUAUUCAUUCAUUCUUCAACCUUUAUUCCUAAAAAAAUAUAAUAAAACAAAAAACAAAAAAAUAAAAAAAAUAAUGGCAAGAGUUCAGCUAUUGUUAUGCUUCACCAUUCUUUUUGCAUCAGUGAAUCUUCUGGACGUUGUUUCAGCUCAUUUGAAGCUUAAGCCAACUUUGCCUCAGAUUGAACCUCCACAAACGUUGAAGGAUGUUGAACCUUACACCGUUAAAGUAGUGAUGGUCUUUGUGUCCGACCUCGAGAAAGAAUGUCCCAAGACAAAUAAAUUUAAGACUUUCUUUGAGAAACUCAGGGCAGUCGCCAAAUAUGUUUGCCCAAUACAAAGGAAAGAUCAAGUAGAUUACGACAAGGACAUGAAGGCCAAGGCCGGAGGUCUCGUCAGGGCCAUAUCUUCUUUCGCAAUUGGAAAGGUAAUUUUUUCUUCAACGUGAAGAUUUAUUAUGUCUAAUGAAGUGUUUUAAUUUACUUUUUUUUUAACGUCUAAACAAACAUUAUUAAUACGAAUCUGAGUAUACAAGAUCAGUGAGAUUACAGAUACAACCAAUGGUUUAUGUAACGAAUGAUAGAAGAAGCUAAUUACGUGCCGCUUUCUUAGUCAAAUAUUUUAUCAUCUUCGUUAUAUCGGUCAAUCUUUCUUGUUUGGGAAUCAUCUUUCUUGUUUUAAUUUACUUUAUCUUGCAUAUGUAUAACAGAUAAAAAAGGAGAUUCAAGAGGAUAAAAUGGAAGUUAUUAAUACCUUUAAGUUUAUGAGAUUUCUUGCGACUAAAAUUGUGGGAAGCCGCAAAAAGGAGGAGAGCGAGGAAUCAAUGAAGCUAACAGCAGAACAACAAAAAGAAAUCAAAGAAGGGAUCUUAAGAUGGGAAACAAUCAUUACUCGGAUCACAAACACAAUGGUAUCGAGCACAACCAACUCUGCUUCUUCCAAUGAAGAGUCUAGUGUUGGGAAAGAAGCUUCCAGCGAAAACAGCAAAAGCUCUGGUAAAGAAAGUGAGAGUUCCGCUAAAGGUGAAAGUGAGACAUCCGCUAAAGGUGAAAGUAAGACUUCCGCUAAAGGUGAAAGUGAGACUUCCUCUUCAAAAAGUGCUGGUGGAAGCUCUACAAGCGCUACUAAAGAAGAAAGUUCCGCUAGUCAGAGCAGUGGUGUAACAGUGACACAAGUCGAGGAAGAGACGUCCAAAGAUGUUUCGACAUUCAUAAUGAACCUCGAAAAGAAGUGUCCACAAAAGGAGGAAUACAAGGUCUUCUUCGAGCAACUCAAGGGUACAAUGAUUGCUCCCCCCAAAGAAAGAAAAGGUUUAUUUUCUAGGAUUAAAUCUGCUGCUGGUAAACUAUCGGGUGCGAUGGGAGUUAUAAGAUCAAGAAUUGGAAGCAAAUCAGCUGAGGUAAUAAACAAGAAAUUAUCCUUAUAAAUUCGAUGCAACUCUUAUUAUAAUUCAUUUCCAUAAUUCUUUGUUUGUUUGUUUGUGCUAUGUUCAUAGGUUAAGAAGAAUAUGGAAGCUUACCAAGAACAAGUGAUGAAGACUCUCGAAGAGUUAGAUACCAUCCAUAGUCAAAUUGUGAGUCAGACUAAAGGCAAGCAAGAGGGGUCUUUGACAUGCACACCAGAACAACAAACACAGAUUAAGACGACAAUUACUAAGUGGGAACAAGUCACAACCCAAUUCGUUGAGACUGCUAUUCAGAGCGAGACACAAUCUUCUUCAACUACUUCAUCUUCUGUCGGCAAAAUGAACACAAACUGAACUCAAAAGGCAUAGCUACAUUAAUUCUCAGAAAAUCAUCAAACAAAUACUUUAUGUUAUAAUCACUAGCUAGUAAAUGUUUUUUUUUUUUUGUAAAAUAAAAUCAAGAUUGGUAUAGGGCAACCACAGAUCUAUUGAUCGACCUAUGCUAGGAUAACUCUGUAAAAACAAAUAUAGAUUGUAACAAACAUUCAGAAGUGAGGCGAGCUCACAUUAAUAAAAGUUUUUGAUAAUUUUCGUCUCAACACAAAAGUAAUUAAGCAGUUAUAAUCUUUUACCAUAUUUCAUAAUUAUGAUCGCUACAUUAAAAAAAAAAUCUACUUCAAUUUCAUUUUUCAUUUUUAUCUUUGCAAUGACCUAACACAAAUUCUUCCAUGAGAUCAACCUUUUCAUAAGAAAGGGAGAUUGAAUCAAAGACCACCAUAAUAAAUUAAAAAUACUGUCCAAGAAAAAAAUAGUUUUGUUGACGCCAAUGAUCGAAUAUGUUAUAGGAUUGUGCUUUUUUCUAUUUUUGCGGGUAAUUGUGAGGUUACUUCAUGAAAGAAGAUCAACAAUCUUUGCGGCCAAUUUGGUAAGCUACAAAACUAAGCCUAUGUCUGAGCAGUUCACGUAAGCUUCUCUAGUGGCUCUUCAAUCCAAUUUUCAAACUAAACGUGUGAUUUCCACACUUAAAUCUCACGUAUAUUUAUUCGGUUCUUAUGGUUCCGAGACAGGUUCUGGUCUAGUGUAACUGAGAAAAGCUCCUUAUAAAUUUCUGCAUGUUUCUAUUUUUAACCGUUUGCAUGCAAUUCAUACAAGUUUAGUAAGGGUUUUUUUUUGGGGUCAAAGAUGCCAGUUUUAGUAGUUCUUAAACCGAUUUUGUAAAAGCUAUGGACGAUUCGAAUUUAUCUCCUCGGAAGAUUGUAUAUAAACCAUAAUUUAUACGAAUGAUUGAUUUUUGGUAGUUUAAUUGGUCUUUGUGAGUGUUCUUAGACUUUUCUCUUGAUGGUUGUUUGAUCUUAAAACAUUUCCCAUGUGAAGUCUAACUCUCUUAUAGUAUUAUACAAUAGCAAAAACAUGUUAGAGAUUUUAAGAGAAUUGAAUAGUUUAAUUAUUUUAGUCAACUUAUUUUAGUUUAAACCUUUUAACAUUUCCACCAUCAUACAAAUAAACUAUUUAAUUAACACUUUGUAAGGUGUAACACUUUUUAGCAUGUAUGCAUUAUAUAUUAUUUUGUUUAACUCAGUGAAGUAUUCAUCUGAAUACAAGUUAACUAUGAAUAUAUAGUCCUGUCUUCUUACAUGAAAGAGUCAUAUUUUAAUACCACAUAGCAACAGCAAUAAUAUUGUUACAUGCUAUAAUAUCAGAGCAUCCACAAAGACAAUUGGUCCACUAGUCAGAGAUGUACCUAGCUUAUGUUGAGCGACAAGAAAUCAAAUAUUUUGGUACGUACAGUGAUCAACAUGUGAAUAGUAAGAUAUGCAACCCGAUAUACAGUCAUUUACAUAACUAGAUUGAUGAUCCAUAAAGACCGAAAAAGUAGUGGUCAUAAACGAAUGUUGCACAAAUUUUGUUUAAGAGUCAGUUACAUAAUAAUUUGCAUCUAAAUAUAGAUUAAAGAAAAAUGCGGAUCACAGCAAUAGAAAUUGCCGUCAAAAUAGAGAGUGAAACAAGAGAACCUCUUUUGCUAUUCAAUUGCAACCUUAAACCAAUCCACCAUUUUCUCUUAUUCACAUAAAAAAUAGAGUUUUAACCAUCUAUAUAAACCCCACCUCACCUAGAAAGUAAAAUCAUCCCAAAAGGAGAAAAACAAACAAAAAACAAAACAAAACAAAAACCAAAAAAACAAAAAAAUAAAUGGCAAGAAUUUCACUAGGGAUAUGUCUGAUGUUAGUAGUAGCAUCAAGUGUGAUCUAUGAAGCGCAAGGAACGUUCUUACUAAACCAUUACUUGAAGAAGAAUUUUCCAAAAAAAUGCAACGAGUUUACGCCUUACGCUAACAAGGGUAUGAUAACGUUGGUGACCGAUCUCGAAGGUAGCAGUCCGGCCACUACAGAGUUCAAGACUUUCUUUACACAGUUCAAGUCUUACAUGUCUUUCAUCGAGACAACAUCGGCCUCAACAAAAAAUGUUGAUGCCGAGAUGACAGCUAAAUGUGACGGUCUUUUCAAGGCCAUGUCUGCAUUGAGUGCUAGUAAAGGCGUCAAAUCAGUAAGUCAUUACCAUAUAUACUAUUUCAUGUGAUAGUAAUUUUUUUUUUUUUGUUUGGUUUUAAGUGUUGUUUGUUUUGCGAACAGGCGGAUGCUGGGAGUAUGAAGAUGACCAUGUUGUCGAUGGGAAAGACUUUGGUUGAGCAGAAGAAGAAUACAAAGAUAAUGACAUUGAAGGAAAAGAAAGAGUUGGUCAUAGAUAUGGUGAAAUGGACUAAAAUGGUCGCUACAUUUGUGAAGUCGGCCUCCGAGCAGAAAGGAAAGUCUAUCAAUAUAGCAUCUUAUGGUCUUGAUGUCGAUGUUAACGAUAGUUCUAUUGUCGGUGGAGCUGCAAGUAGUGAAUCAUCCUCCACUAAAUCUGGAUCUGUUUCCAGUAGCGGAAGUGUUUCUACCAAGUCGAAAGAAUCGAGUAGUAGUGGAAGUUCUGCCAGUGGAAGUGUUGCUACCAAAUCCAAAGAAUCCAGCGGUGGAAGUGCUGCUACCAAAUCCAAAGAAUCUAGCGGUGGAAGUGCUGCUACCAAAUCCAAAGAAUCUAGUGGUGGAAGUGCUACUACAGGUAAAACUUCGGGCAGUCCGAGCGGAAGUCCUAAGGCCAGCCCAUCUGGUUCAGUUAGUGGCAAAUCAUCUUCAAAAGGAAGCGCAAGUGCUCAAGGAAGCGCAAGUGCUCAAGGAAGUGCAAGUGCUCAAGGAAGCGCAAGUGCUCAAGGAAGUGCAAGUGCUCAAAGAAGAGAAAGUGGGGCAAUGGCUAUGUCCAAGAGCAGAGAAACAAAGACAUCGAGCCAAAGACAAUCCAAAUCAUCGAGUGAAAGUUCAUCUUCUAGCACAACCACCACAACAGUGAAACAAGUCGAGAGUGAGACUUCCAAAGAAGUAAUGUCAUUCAUAAUGCAACUCGAGAAGAAGUAUGCAGCAAAGGCGGAACUCAAGGUCUUCUUCGAGUCUCUAAAGUCUUCCAUGCAAGCUUCCGCAAGCGUUGGUUCCAAAACCGCGAAAGACUAUGUUUCUGCCUCAAAAGCAGCCACUGGUAAACUCUCCGAAGCCAUGGCUUCAGUGAGUUCCAAAAAUGUCAAAUCAGCAAAGGUUCGUAAAUUCGAACUCAAAUUUCUUAUUCCUUUGAUAAAGGUUAAACAAAAAAUCAAACUAUUUCUUUGUGAUAUGAUAGAUGAAGAGCAACUUGGACACUAGCAAAGAUGAAAUGCUGAAGUGUGUCAAACAAAUUCAAGAUAUCAACGGUAAAAUGGUGAGUGGCAAGACCGUGUCAUCAACACAACAGUCAGAGCUCAAGCAGACAAUCACCAAGUGGGAAAAGGUCACCACCCAAUUUGUUGAGACCGCUGCUUCUUCAAGUUCAUCGUCAUCCUCAUCCUCAUCCUCAUCCUCAUCUUCUGCUGCUUCUCAGCAGCAGGGCAAUGCAGCAAUGGUCAAGACUAAUUGAGUUUAAAGGUGAAGUUACUUUAUUGCGCAAAAGAUCACCAAGAAAGACACAACCAGUAAUGCCAAAUAUUAUAAUAAGUAGUUAACUAUUAGAUAAUUUUUCUUGUAAAUAAAACUAAGAUCGGUAUAGGUAAGCAUUGCAUGCUUAUAAACCGAUGUAUGCAAGUAAUAACUCUGUAAAAAAACGUUACAGAUAGAUUGUAACCGCUUUGUAUGUUAACAUACAAAAGUGAGUGAUACCUAUGAAAGGGAUUUUUGAAUACUCAUCUUCUCCUUUCAAGAAAAUUAGGUCUAAUUUUAAGAUCUACCGAAAUAUAAUCGUAUGCAUUUAAAAGAUAUGGGACUUAAAGAGUGCAACGUAGGACAUUACAAAAAUGGAUUAUGUUGCGUAUUAUUUUUUUACUUCAUAUGAUUAUUUUGUAUUUUUUUGACAUAAAGGUAAAAUUGCAAAAAUGAUCGACUUUAAGUUUUUUUUCCACAAAACUCUUAUCUAUAUGGUCAGUCCAAUUUAAUCAAUCGAAAUUAUGAUGCUUUAGAUCCAUUAGAAAAUCAGCGAAUAAGAUAUUCGACGAUUACACUCACUUUGUGGAAUUAGUGAAAUAGUAAUAUCCCGAAAGAAAUAAAUAACAGAUUGAAGAAUAAACGUAUAAAAAAAUAGAACAGUUUAACUCAUUGAGUUGGUUUAGAUAUAUCAUUGAAACUCUCCAUUAUUCAUUUUAACUAGUUUUCAAUUGUAUGUAAAAGACGGUUUACGUUUGUUUUUAUGAUGCAAUUGUUGAAGUAGAUAAUGGCGUAAUUAAACAAUUUGUUCGUGGAUUAUAUAUGAUGAGGUUUAUAAGGUAAAGGUUUCCCUAUUGAUACAACCUCGUAUUUUAUAUAACUACUUAAGAUAUUGGGACGUGUUGACCGUAGAUGAUCUCCAUUUGAGUGGUCAAGAGAAAAAUAAAAUAAAAUGAAACUGUAUAACAAGAAACAUGUUCUUACGCGUCCGCAACAUGAAUUCUACUUGGUGAGACCCAAAAUCUUUCAGUAUUCUUCUUAUUGAGGAAUAUGCUUUUUUUAGGAAAAAAUAUUUUGAGGUUGAUAUUGACGAGCAUGUCAUAGAUAGACUCAACGUCUGGUAUUGACAUUGGCCUCACAUUUCAGGUAAGUUGUUUUACUAGCAUUUUCGGAUGCAAAACUCAUAGGAUUAUAUGGCUUAUGUAGUGGAUUGGUAUGUAUGGAUAGGUGAACAAAUAAACCAGAGCAAAUCUAUGCAUAAUUUUAAUCACAAUAGACUUGCUGUUUUUUUUUAUUAGUUAAACACAUGAAAACUUUAUUAAAAUUAUUAUUAUUAGAACCAAGAUUAGUUAAAUUGAUCUGUAUCUAAAAAAGAAAUGGGACAAGCCAUUAAGAAAACAUAGAAGACUCACUACAUUUGCCAAAAAAAAAAAAAAAAAAAAAAAAAAAAAAAAGAAAAGACUCACUACAUUGUACAAAUAAAUUUAAUAUCACUCCUAUAUACUUUGAUGAUAUCGCCUGUCCUAAGAUGUCUUGCAUCUUUGAUAUAAGCUCUAUCUCUUACAAUCUAGAGAAUAUGUACUAGAUGACUAUGAAAAUGAAAAGAAUCAACAAACUAACUAUGAGCUACAGUGUUUUGUCAGAAGGUAGAUGAAAUGACCAUUUAACCUUUCUUUUCAAUUUUUAUGUUUCAUCGUCAUCAACACAACAUCUUAAUUCUCACCAUCAUCAACACAACAUCCACCACCACCCUCAACAACACUACCAACAGUCAAGAUUUAAUCGCCCACCACCCUCACUCCAACCAAAUCAAUAUUCCCUCAACCAUCAUCAACAUAACCUCCACCACCAUCCUCGACACCACGGCCACAAGUCAAAUUUAAUCUCACAACACAACCACCACUACCCCCACUCCACUCAAAUCUAAUCCCCCACCAUCAACAUCAACACAACUUACCCCCACUCCACUCAAAUCUAAUCCCCCACCAUCAACAUCAACACAACUUCCACAACCAUCCUCUUAACCAUUGCCACAAGUCAGAUUUAAUCUCCCACCAUCAUUCUCGACACCAUCGCCACCAUGCUUUAAUAACUAAUAAAGAGAUAUUUAUCAAUAUUUCAUGGUAUACAAUAAAAUCGCAUAAAUUCUUGCAAUUAUGUUCUAUAUAUUUCAUGCUAUUCAACAAAAUCACAUGAAAUCUUGUAAUUAUGUUCUAUAUAAUUUCAUGAGAUUCAACAAAAUUGCGUGAAUUUUUAUAAUAAUGUCCAGAUUUCUCAAUAUACCAUGCUAUUCAAUAAAAUUGAGUGAAAUUUUUCACAAUAAUGUUCAUAUUUGGCAAUAUAUCAUGCUAUUCACCAUAAUCACAUUCAUUUUUGCAAUAAUGCCUCCUCAACCGCCGUACAACUUCUCUGCUACCUAUUGUUCUCUAAUUCUGAUAAAACGUAGAAAGGGUUAUUUGGUCAAUGUCCCUCUUUUAAAAGGUGGGUCCAUGGUUAGUUUCUAAUAGAAAAGAAGUCCAACGUUAUUUUCUUAAUUAUUUUACAGUCAAAGGUUAUUCAUUAAUAUUACCCUACAAUCUAAGUAACAUAAACUCAAUUAAUAUCAUAUAAUCUCUUUUACAAUCUAAGAGACAUAAACUCAAUUCUUAUCUAAUACUAUAAUGAUACUAAAAUUUAUACAGUAAAAUACCUAUAAAUUAAUAAUGUUGAAACUGCAAAAUUUUAUUAAUUUAGAGAGGUUUUAAUUUAUCGAUAAAUUAAUAUGUACUAAUUUAUAAAGAGAUUUUCCUAAUUUAGUAACUUUUAAAAAAUUUCUAUAAGAUUUUUUUCAUUAUAGAAAACAAGAAUCAAUUACAAGUAAAAAUAAUAAUAUCAUGCUAAGAAAACAACACCAAAAGUUCUUGAUACAGUAAAAUACUAGAACUAAAUUUCAAAUAAGAAUAAAUAUAAAUUUAAGCAAAAAAAUAUUAGAAAUAUAUUUCAAAGAAAUUUCUUACAUAUAAUAUAUAUAUAUAACAAUUAUAUAUAUAUAUAAUUGAUACAUUUAUACAACAAUUAUUAAUUUAUGAUAUUGAUGUGACCAUAUAUUUACAUAGAACUUUCAAAAUAAUUAUUAUCUUAUUAAUUUAUCGAUUUGUGUCACUUUGUACACGGGUCCCAACUCAGAACCGAAAGAAUUUUAUUAAUUUAUAGAGAUUAUUAAUUUAUCGAGUAUUAAUUUGUAAAGGUUUUACUGUAUUUGUUAUUGAUAUUAAAAUCUAAUGUUAAAUAACACCUCAUUCUAUCUAUACUAUUAAUUGGGAAUCAUUGAAAAUUAACAACCUUAUGAAGGGUAAAAUAUUACAUUGAAUGCCAUUGAUUGUUAGUGUUUUUAAAUAAAUUCAUUAAGGAUACAAUAGUAAUCACAAAAUUAAUAGAUUUAAAUAUAAAAAAUGGUAAUAUUCUUUUAAGCAAUUAUUAGUUUCCCAAAAUUAAACUCACUUUCUCUUUCCUAUUAAUUACGGACGAAAAAUUAAAAUUUAUUUCUUAAAAUUUUUUAAUCAAUAAAAAUUGAAAAACUAAGAUUUGAUAUCAAAUUAUACUACUAUAUUAUUAAACUAACAUUUUAGAAGUUCAUUUUUAUUUUUAAGUUUUUUAAAAUCAUAACACUUGCUUGAUACCAUGAAUAAAAAAAUCAUACUUUGUGAUAGAUAAAUAAAUUCAAUUUUAGAAUUUUGGGUUAAGUACUUUGAAAUAUAAAACGAAAAUUUAUUUCAAAAUUUCUAAAAACGAGAUUAGAUGUUACAAAGAUUUAUAUUUACUAUGAAUUAAACAAAAAUAAUUAAUUUAAAGUAAUUAUCAUUAUGCCGUACAUUUAGAAAUAUCUUAACAAUAAAUUAUACAUACUAAUUUCAAAAUAUUUUGGGUUUUACUUUUUCUUUUUUUCAACCAGAUCUUUUUAAAAAUAAAUCCAUAAUAUAUUAUUGAAAAAUUUUUUGAAAUAAUGUAAACUAAUUAUACAUUUUUCAUUCAAAACAAAUUAUCCAGCAACAAUAAAUUGCUUUUAUAGGUGUAUUUCAAAAUUUUAAUUAUAUUCCAAAAAUCCAAUUAAUUAUGAUUAAACAAGAGAAAGAAGAAUAUUGAAAAUGUAGCUAAGGAUAUAAACAUUAUUACAUUUGUUCAAAUAUAAUUUUUUUCAAAAUUAUUUGUUAUAAUGCUAUUCAUAUUUUUGAAUUUGAAGAAGGAAAAAAAAUCAAGAAAAGAUAUUUGUGUGUUUUAAUUUAUAAUAUAUUUGUAAACUUUAACAUCCUAUAUAUUAAUCCCCAAAACUCAGUCAUAUAUACAUUGGUUUUUAAAGGUAAGCAAAUAAGAAUUUUGGAACGUACUUUUAAUGGAACAAAAUGAAAAUAGGAAUUAUGAGACACAAACGACAUGAAAAGAAACGGAAGUACUAUAUAAAAUAAUUUGAAACCAAACUGAACAUCAAAUUAAAUAUCUAACUGGUAUGAGUUUGAGUUAUGAGUACUAUAUAAAAUAAAUUUGUUUACACACAUAACUCUGUAUGUACGUAUUUUGUGACACAAAUUCUAUUUGUGAUAGUUACGGGUUGGUAGUAUUUUUAUUUCACAUAUACGGACGGGUUAUGGGACGAAGAAUUUGUGAUAGAUACAUCACAGGUUUUCCAUUCCAAGAAAUAUAAGUUUUAAUUUCUAAACUAAUCAAAACAUUAUAACAGUUUGAUUACUGGUGUAAAAUAGGAUAUAAAUUUGGUUUUAGUUUGGGUUCUUUCUCCGUAUGAGUCUGGAUCUUAAAAUAUAACUAUACACGAACACAAUUGAAUUUCGAUUAUUACUCUUAAUUUUAUAAUAUCUAUACUAUUACAAAGUUUACUUAUAACAAAAUAUUAUAUAUUUUUAAAAUUUAUUAAAAAAAUUAUAUUUUGUACGUAUAUGCGAAUUCAGAUAUCUAAUACAUUGUACUAUAAUAUAUAUCACAAAAUAAGAAAAUAAUUUACAUUGAAUUGAAAAUAUAAAAUCCCGCACAUACGUGCGGGUCAGGAUCUAGUUACUAUUGUUUUCAGAAAACAUUACUUAAUUGGGUUAAUCUUAUAUCUCAACAUUUACAAUCAAAUUAUUAAAAUUCUACCUCACACAAGUCAUGGGUUAGAAGAACCUACUAGUUCAUAUUCUCAAAAGAAAAAGUAUCCUUUCCAGAAAAAGAAUGACAAAGAUUAAAACACGGAGAGCAAUUAACGAUUGCAGACCAAAUAGAAAUUGAAAGAAAAAUAUAUUUUAUAGAAACUUUGCUAGUCUCUAGCGACCUUAAAUCAAUCCACAGUUUUCUCUUAUAUUCAUCUAAAUUUAGACCACUUAGAAAUCUUUAUAAACCAAUUCUCCCUCAAACAAAACUUAAAAAAAAAAAAAAAAAAAUAUAUAAACAUAAAAAAUAUUAAACAAAAAGAACAAAAAAAAUGGCAAAACUUUCAUUAGCAUUAGGUCUAUUGCUACUAUUAGCAUUAAGUGAGGUCUACGAAGUGCAAGGGUCGUUCUUAUUGAGGCAUUACAUGAGGAAAUUUCCCAGAAGGUCCAGAGACUUUCGGCCAUUCGCUUGCAGAGGUAUGUUGAAGUUCGUGGACGUUUUGGAGCUUAAGUGUCCAUUAAAGCCACAAUACAAGAGCUUCUUCGGAAACCUAAGGUCUUACAUGAACUUCAUAAACUCGGCAUCCGGGUCGAAAAACUUUGAUGCCGAGCUAAAAGGGAAAGCCCAGGGCCUCUUCUCAGCUAUGUCUGCAAUGAGUGGCAAAGGCGCCGCAUCGGUAAAGUUCAUUUAGAUCUUAAAAUGUAUUUAAGUAAAGAUCAUCGUGGUUUGAUAAUGCUUGAUUUAUUUCAUUUUAUUUGGUAACCAGGCUGAUUCUAGCAAGGUUAUGGAUACAUUGCUGUCAAUGGGAAAGACAUUGGGCACCCAACAGCAGAGCGGUUCAUCGGUAAUGUCGCUUGGACAAAGGAAAGAGAUGAUCAUGUCUAUGGCGAAGUGGGCACAAACGAUUGGUCAAUUUGUUGUGAGUGCUGCAGCAAAGAGCGGAAACAAAAUUGAUAUCUCAUCUUUAGGAAUUGAUGGCAUUGAUGCUAGUGCUGCCGGAGCUGGAGAUUCUACUGCCAGUGGUGGAGUUUCUGCCACCGGAACUGGAAGUUAUGGCGCGGGAGCUGGAGGUUCUAGCGCUUCUGGCUCAGAUACCGCAGCUGGAGGCACUACCGCAACUGGAGGCACUACCGCAGCUGGAGGCUCUACGGCCGCUGGAGGCACUACUGCUAGUGGUGCUGGUACCGCAGGCUAUGGUGCCACAGCUGGAGGCGCUACCGCUAGUGGCGCUGGUACUGCAGCUGGAGGCACUACCGCUAGUGACGCUGGUACCGCAGCUGGAACUACCGCUAGUGGCGCUGGUACCGCAGCUGGAGGCACAACCGCAGCUGGGGCUGGUGCCGCAGCUGGGGCUGGUGCCGCAGCUGGGGCUGGUGCCGCAGCUGGAGGCACUACCGCCGCUGGCGGUGUAAGUGGAAGCUAUGGCAGUAGUGGAGGAAGUGCUUCGAACACCAAUGGUGGAACUAGUAGUUGCGGCACAAGUGCGUGUUCUAAUGGUGGUGGAGCCUCCUUUAAAGGUGCUAUGAACUUUCAAGGAAAGGCAUCCUCUCAGUCUCAACAAGCUGCAUCAUCCCAAACCUCUAAUGGCUCCAGUUAGAUAAGGGCCGACCUAGCAUAUAUAUAAACGUACGUAUUAAUAUUAUUUAAAUAAGAAGAUGGCCCUGCUAACAUAUUAAAGCAGCGAGCUGUAGAAUGUUUUGGCUUUAUGUAUCUAAGCCUUUUUCUAUAAUAUGAGAAUAUUUUGUGUUAACACAAGAUAUUGGUAAUUUAGUUUUGAUCAAACGGGUUCACGUACUUUUUCUUGACUGUUGUCUUGUGAUUUACAUCUCUGCAUAAAAGUGGUCUACGCAGCCCCAGCCCAACAAUAAUUAGAGCUUUAGGGCAAACCAAAUUUUUUGGACACUUACUAUAUCUUUUUCAUAUUUUAAAGUAAAUUUGUACAUACAAAAAUUGUUUAGUUUCUUACUAACCUUUUUUGUAAAAAGGUCCUAAAUGUUAAGAAAAAUGGAGUUAUAGUCUAAAUGUUUUUUUUAUAACAAAAUAGGCUUUAAAACAUAAGAAAAGUCUUAAAAAGUAUGAUGAAUCUGUAGUCCUGGAAUCUUUUGGCUGCUGCCUUUUUGUCGUACCCAUUUGGGCUGGACCGGGUUCUAUGUUCUUAUGGUAUUUCCCUCUUCAUCAACGCUACUAAAGAACUUUACUCUAAUUGAACAAAAUGAUUUAGUAGUCAAACCCAAUCUUAUGUCCAUUUUUGGGUGCAUUAGCAAGAUAAGAUUAAUAUACCACGCGUUGUUAGCUCAAUUGGUAAAGACCCUAGGCGAAGUUUAGAGGUCGCCGGUUCGAAUGACGCUUGGAACGAAACUAAUAUUACAUGCUGUGGUUUCGGGCCUAGGAGGAUUACGGGCUUCGGCCCAGAACCUCCUGGUAUUCAAAAAAAAAAAAAAAGACUAAUAUAUACGGAUGUAUAUGACAUUGAGAACAUAAAUCUUUGGAAGUUGCCUCUUGUGGUAACUCUCUUCCAAAAAAUUUGUAUAAGAUCAAUCAAAUAACUAUUUUCAUUUUAGUGAAAAAUCUAAAUCUUAUUCUUAUUUUUAUUCAUUGCACAAUAAAGCUUAAUGAACUAUUUUGUUUCGAGAUUAAUCACACUAAAUCAAUGUUUCUUGGAAAAUAUGAUAUAUUUUUGGUGAAUCAUAUAAAAAGCCCAACAAAGCUCAAAUAUGCUUUAAAGAGUAGGGGGUUUACAAUGAUUUUUCUAGCCCAAUAAUAAAAGCAAUCAAAUUACAAAACUAACAUCCAAAAGUUAGAUUAAAAAGGAGCUAAAAACUAAACCCAGCCUUUAACAAAGAAAAAAAGAAAAAAAAAAGAGCUAAAUAUAUACUCUGAAAACAUGAAUACAUGAUACGUUGAUUAAGUUUGACACAUGUGUUAUCUACGAGCUGCCAAUCGAUUCUCAUCUUGAAAUCAUUAUGAGUUUAAUAAUUUCUGAUAUAACGAUCACGAAAAUAAUAUAUAUACAUUUUGCUUCUCAGCAAAACUUUAUCGUCUUCAUCAAUUGUUAUUAUCAAAUCCUUAGAUAAUACAUAGGUAAAUUAAAUUUUAAAAAUAUUUGCAUUCCAUCUCUAAGAGGAUCUCGUAUCGAGCCAUGGGUCACAUGCAUAAUCAGGUGAUUGAUAUAAGCUAUUUCUAUGAAGACUGUUGAAUUUUAAGUCCCAAACUGCCCGGAUUGGGUUUGGAUCCAACAAAUAGCUGAGUUAUGGUGGCCGAGUUAGUUAUAUUUACUAAUUAUUAUCGCGAGGUAAUAUAAUUUACUUUUAUAAGAGAAUACAUUUAAACUAAUUUAAUAUAUAUCUAAAAAUAAUUUUAUAGUGCUGAAUUCAUUUUGUCAUCGUCUCAUUGAGUAUUUUAUGUUUUUAUUAUCUUAUUAUAUAAAGUAUGGUUUUCAAAGUUACUAACUCAUACGAUUGUGCCACAUGUCAAGUCAAAUGAUCAGAUGUUUACAUGUGUCAUUCAAAAUUUAAUUUUUUAUUCUCUUAAAAAAUAGAAAAUCUUAAAAAGUAAACAAAUUUAUAUAUACUAAUUCAUUUACUAACUCAUACGAUCAUGCCACGUGUCAAGUCAAACGAUCAGAUGUGUACAUGUCAUUCAAAAUUUAACUUUUUAUUCUCUUAAAAAAAUAGAAAAUUUUAAAAAGUAAACAAAUUUACAUAUACUAAUUUAUAUGUCUAUAUAUUUAUAAACAAUUAACAUUUAUUCAACAAAAAGAAAAUUAUCAAAUUUGUUUUUAUAUGUGUUAUUGGUCAUUUAAAUGUACCACAUAUUAUUUUCUUAAAAACUGAUUUAGUAUGGAUAACAAUACUAAUUAAAAAGACCAUUGAAGUUUAAAAUAGUAAUAUAAUUUUCUAAACAUUAUUUUAGUUGGAUAAAAUUAUAUUUGUCAAUGUAAUACAAUGUUUUUAUUCGUCAAAUCAAAACACAAAAUAUUAAUGAACUUAUAAGAAUAAAAUUUUGAAUACUUAUGUUUUAUUCUAAGAAUUUUAACUCAUCGUAUGAUGGAGCGUCUUGCAUCUUUUGAUGUGAUACUAUAUCUAUGUUUUAUUUUAAGAAUUUUCACUCAUGUAAUCAUAAGUGAAAAUAGAACAUUUUGAGAAAAAAUAGCUUAGCUUAUAGGAUUUAACUUUUCAAUUAUUUUUAAUGAGAAUAUUUUCAUUUAUUAAUUUUACCUCAUUUGAUAUUAAUUUGCAUGAUGUAAGAUUAACUUACGAGAUUACCGCAUAUAUAAAAAAUAUAUUUUCAACAAUGUUUGGUUUUAAAUAUUUUUGUGGAUUUCUUUUUUUUUAGUUAAUUAUUAGCGUUUUGGUAUUCGAGUCAGGUUCGGAUCGGCUAUUUUGGGUUUGGGUUUAGAAGUUUAGGACCCGUUUGGGUAAUUUAAGAUUUCAGGUCGGGUUAGGGUUCGAGUUUAUUUAUAUAUUAAAAUAUCAAAUUUUGUGUGCAAAUCUAUUAAAUUACUUGAAAUUUUUAAAAUAUUUCCAAAACAACACGAGUAGUUUUGCUUGAAUAUAUCUAAAAAUAAAUAAAAAUAAUUAAAAUAUCCGAAAAAAUCCUAAUAUUUUCUGUAUACAAGUAUAAAUAUAACUAAUAUAUACUUAUAUUUGAGAUAUGUUUGGAUACCUAUUCAGGUUCGGGUUUUUUAGGUUUUGAAGUUUAGAACCGCUCGGGUCUUUGAAAAUUUUGGGUUCGGGUUCGGGUCGGUUCUUAGGGUUGGAGUAUUAUGCCUAGGCCUAUUAAUUAUGUUUUGUUAAUUUUUAAUUAUUUUUAAUACUAACUAGGAUAUAGAUUUGAUAUGUCAUAAAUAUUAUUUUGAUAUGAAAAUGUUAUAACUCAAUAUGAAGUGUGUAGAAUUUAAAUCGAGUUUAUUAUGAUGACAUAGAUAGUUAAACUGUAUUACAAAAUUGAAUUUGUAAUAUAUAAAUUUAUUUUUUCUUUUUCUUUUCUAGAUAUUAAAUUAAAUAUAGAAUGAUGAUCGCUUACUUUUUAGAAUUCAAAUAUCAUUCAUAAGAUUGAGUUUGUAUAAUUAAAAUAGAAUGGAUAAGACUGAAAUUUUGUUUAAAUCAAUAAUUAUUAAAUUAAAUAUUAAGAAAAAUAUAUUGAUUAUUAUACCAAAUUCUAUCGAUAAAACUUGAUUUUUGUAUCUUAGACCUGCCUAAAUAGGCGGGCCUUAUCUAGUUUAAUAUAAUAUAAGAGUCGUGAUAUUACUAAUUUAUGAAAUUUUAUUUGAGAUUAGUACGUUCCCGAAUUUUAUUUGAAUUUGAUAAAUACGUUCCAGUUUUUUAUGAUUGAUGAGAAAUGACGACGGCAACGAAAUUGGAAAGAAUCUGAAUAAACUAUAACAGCUAAAUCUAUAUAAUAAUUUAAUAAACUUCACUUCAACUUGUCAAACUCUACUUAUAUAUCUAAAUACAAAAGUCAAAUUAUUUGAUUUAAAAAGAGUGAGGCUGCGAGCUAACAACCAUUAGAGAAUAUCAUAAAAUUCAGUAUAUUAAAAUGGCUAAGGGGAUUAAGAUAAGUUUCAUAUAUAAAACAAGGUUUAGUGGAGGCCAUCUAAUUCUUGUCUCGAAACAGCAACACAAAAUAAGACACAUGACCAGCAUUACCAUGAAGCCACUUAGUAACCCACUUCUCUCUCUCUUUUAUUUCCUCCAGAUUAGCCAUUUUUGGGACACAUUUGCAUACUACUUAAAUAUAAUCACUUUCUUACACUUUACUUUUUUUUUGUAGAAAGUAAGGAAACGAUUUAAUUUUUAUUAACAUACUUUAUAAUUUGUGUCAUUGGUCAACACAUUAAAAAUAGGGAUAAUACUACAAUUUUAUUAAACAUCUGCAUCAAAAAACUAAAACGAUACUAAUUUUAAAAUUUAAAACGCUAAAUCAAUUGAAACAAAAGUACUAUUUAUACUAGCCGUGAAAGUUAUUUUCCCAAUUAAUUGAUCAAAUAGUAAUGUCUUUACUUUUGACAAAAAAAUAAAAAAUAGUAAUGUCUUUACAUGAAUAGACUUCAUGUUACAAUCUUUUUUUUCUUGGAACAACUAGUUCAUGUAACAAUCUAUAUUAUUGUUUUUGUCAUGUCACAAUCAAGAUUCAAAUUCAUAACUAUUGAUAUUUUAUUUCAAAACAAAAACCGAUUUCUUACAUAAAACUUUCUUUUUUUAUAACAGCGAAGUUCGGACCUAGAUUCUUGUAAACAUAGAUUCGAAGUCAACAUUUACUCCCAAGAGAAAUUGAGGUAGAGGCACAAUAGAAUAACCUUCUACCACAAUGGAAACCAAUAUCAUUUGCUAAUCACUACAUUAUCGUACUCUAAGAAUUUCUUUAUAAAAAUUAGAGGUUUGAAUUUAUAAUAUGAUUAAUUUUGCCCCAAAAAAAGAAAUUUAUAACACGAUUUUCCUUGUAAAAUAUGAUUAUGUAGUGCUAUAAUACCACUUUUUCUUUUUUUUUGAAAGAAAAGAAGAUUUUGCAUUUUGAUAUUAGAGUUAAAUUUUGAUCUUAUGAUCUGUGGGUUACGGAGCCUAUGCUUUAGCUGCGCCACUCUGAUAUAUUUCUAUCAUAGCACUUCAAUGCGAUAUAUCUUUGAAGGUGAAUGCAUACAUGAUUAAAAAAGGACGUGAAACAAUAUUUGUACAGUUUUUUUUUUCACUGAACUACUUACUUAUAUUCAUAUUUCAUAUAUAUAUAACUUAUAAUCAAAAAAGCAUUUAUACAACUUUUUCGCAUUAGGAGUAUGUUCACAUCACGUUAAUUAGUCAAACUAUACAUUUUUAAUAACAGAUGCUAAAAUUGAGGGGGAGAAACUUAUUUAUUUAUAAUUUGUUGUCGUUUUCGUAUACCAGCAUAAAUAUUGUUGGAGAUUAUAGCACAUAUAAAUAUAAGCAUUAAUCCUGAAAUUGAGGCUAAGAUUUGUAUUUACAUAUAUGGUUGAUAGCAAUUUGAUUAAAAUUUUAUCUGACCCAUCACCAAAUUAGUGGACAUUGAUUUUGCUUUUAAAAGUACUAAGCUUUACUAUUUUUCUUUGCUACUUAGUUCGUGGCUUUGUGCUGUAUAGUUUGUAUGUUCACUGAAUCCAAAUCAUGCGCAAAUUAUUACCAUAUAAUUGUACUAAUCACUAGGAUUGAGAUUAGUUGUGUUAUUUUGCAUCAAGGUUAUGUGAAAAUCCGGAAAUUUACUAAGACAGCGAAUUACUAACAAACUCCAAAAUAAAAUAUGGGAGUGUAUAAAAAGAAGUAAAAAAACAGAUAGGAGUGUAAACUACUUAUAUUAAAAAUAGUUAAAAACUAAACUGCAACCUUAAAAGUAUAAGUAUUUGAUUAAAAUUUUAUCUGACCCAUCACCAAAAAUUGAUAUAAACUUAUAUUAUAAUUAAGUUAAUUAUUAGUUGUCAAACCAAAAAACAAAACAUCAAAAACAAAAAAAAAGCAAGAUAAAAAAAAACGAUUACAAACAAAAAUCCAGGUAAAUACCAUUCCUACAAAAUUAACCCAGUAUUAAUGAUUUCGUUGUAAUCACAACCUAAAUAAUUGUGUUGAUAUAAAAUAUUCAGCCGAUUGUUUUUGCAAAACAAUUUUGCAAAUAUUAUUAUUUUAUUUAUUUAUUUAUAUAUAUAUAUAUAUCUUGGUAUAUUACUAGUAUCAAUGAAAUCAAAGAAAGUGGUAAACAUGACUUGUUCUUGAAAAAUGAAAAAUAAAAAUAAAUGAUUUAGUCUAUAACAUUAUCUUUCAAACCCACCUAUAAUUGCUUAACUAUUUUCGAAUCAAACGGUUUUCGUAGCUUAAUGAGUAUUAUCUCAAAUUAAAUUCUAAUAAUUGCUUCGACAAUGUAUCCAACUAAGGCACUCUACUUAACUUACACCACCCUACUUAAACUACAUUUAUUUCUAUUACUUAAACUACUUUAGUUGAGUCAAUAAUACGAUCUCUGAUAAUACUCACAAAUGUUACGUAUUUCGAAUUCAAAAUUAAUCGACAAUGUAGCAAUCAAUUAGUGUCUCUUACAUAUGACUUCAUUCUAUCUAUUUUAUAUGUGAGGUUUUUUGACGUCUUUUUGAAAUAAUAGUUCUUAUCAGUUCAUCUUGGAAAAAAAACAUAUAGAACAAUAUCGGAUCAACUAAUUAAACGUUUAUUUCUGUUACAUUUUGUAGGAUUUCAUUGAAUAAAUAGUCAUAAAUUAAUAGUUGUAAAAUUUUGAAUUCCUAAUUAUAACAUUUGCUUAAUUUUUAUAUAGAUUCAUUACUACGGUGCCUUUACAUAACAGUAUAGCACAUGCACCUAGCCUCUGUUACCAUAUAGGAAAUUAAUUAUAUUUCACACGGAACACUUUUUGACAGUAUGCACCUACCCUCUAUUUUGUUUUUAUAAAUCAAACCUCAUUUGUUUAUAAUAAAUAUGCUUUCUAUUUUUAUAAUCAGUCAAACCAUAUAUAUCUUAUAGAUAUAGUGUUUUUUCCGUCAUGUUUGAAUUGUGCAUCGAGUUGCAAGUUUAGGGUUUUAUUUAAUGUUUGUUUAUUUAUAGUGGAAAGACUGUUAAUUAUUACUUUGUAGUUUGUUCAAAAAAUCUAUUUCGAAUUUAUAUACUAGACCAUAAAUGUAUUUAAUCAAUAUUAUUAUUAGGCAUUUUUUAGGCAUGUUAAAUGCUAGAUGUGUAAUGUCCUGUUUGAAAAUGAACAUUGUGUAAAUAGUUUAAUCGCCUCUUUUUUCUUUUAUCAGCUGUAUGCCUGUAUCUAACAAUAUAUAUAAUUCAUACUUUCAUCAUCACUAGUUUUAAAAUAAAAUAAAAAAACAAUUUGAUUUAACUAUAAGAAAUGAAAACCGUAGAUGAUCUUAAAUACAAUUACAUAAAUAAAAAAACGAGUAAUUUCAAGUUCGAAAAUUAGCUCUUUAGAUUUUAGUAUGGGGCAGCUGGACCAAUUUUCGGUCUUAUGUAAAAUUCAUAUGACUUAUAGGUUCAGGGAGAUUAAUCUACUAAAUACUAGUAUAGUGUAAUUUAUAUGCAUGAUAAGUAAAAACAAUGAUGAAAGUAAUACCGUUGGGAGGUUGCAUGUCGUGUUCCAGUAGUCCACACAUUAGCUUCUCGUAAGAUCGUAUGGAGUGUUAGCUAUUCUCGUAUAUGUUGGUUUGAGAGAAUGUAUACGUAAAGGACCUUGUUCCCUUUGCAAUCGUAAAAGCUUUGGGGGAACCUUGCAGUAAAAAUCUCUCAUGGCUAAUUUGAUUCCACAUCCCUAUGUCAGCAAGUUGCUUUCCUUCAUGCCGAUUAAAUCACCUUCCAUGAGAAUAUACCUUAUUUUAUUCCUUACCUGACUUCUAGAAAGAUUUGGGAAGUUUUGUUGAGGAUCAUUCUAAACUUGAUGUAUGCUCUCUAUCUUAUAUCCUUGAAACUAUUGUUCGUUAGAGAGUUACAAAAGACUAUGCAUCUUCACGCAAAUAUUAAAACGGAUAAUUUGGUUCGGAAAAUCAAAUCCAAGCCGAAUCACAUCACUUAUGUAAACAACAUUCUACAAUAAUGGCUCUUUUAAGCUCUAAUUAAAAGUGGAUGACAAAAAAAAAGACUAUGCACCGAGACGAUAAGUUUUUUUUCUACUUCAAAACCCAAAUCUUAUAUCCAAAAUCUAGUCUAAUUAUAAUUAUCAGUAUCUAUCUAUAUAUAAAAUUUACUAAAUUUGGUAAAACAAUUCUAUGGAAAUUAUUUUAUAUAUUAGUUAUUAUAUAUUAUUUCUUACCUCUUAUAAUUCCUUCGAUAAAUUCCUAUUCAAAUUAUUUUUAAUCCAUUUAAUAAAACUAAAUUUCAAAAUCAAAAAAUGUAUUACUACAUUUCCAAAAUUUAUUACUACAUUUCCAAAAUUUAUUCUAUAUACAUAAAAUAAGCAAUUUAUUUAUGUCAAUAAAAGAAAAAAAUAAAAUGACAUUAAAAGCAAAGAACAUGACAAAAACCAGUAGAUAUCAUUCCUAAUUUAAGCAAUCCCAAAAAGUUUUAUCUGAGCGUGGAUCACGCGCCUUCACAUUACCCUCAAAUAUGACUUUGUAGAAUGAGUAGUCAAAUUCAGAGAAUUUACCAAAUUGUGUCAUUCAACAAAACAAAACAAAGACUUUAUACAUAAACAAAUCUCUCUCUUAAGAAAAAUUUUCUACAAACCUCAAAACAUUCUUCCUUCUUCUCCUCCUUAUUCUCUCUACGACUUUUAAAGACAGAACCCAGACGAUGGUUAUGAUCAUGAAGAUGUCUUUGUGGUCUCUUUCUUAAAUGAUUUGGUUUGGUCCAAAUCUCUUUCUCGUUUUCCAUUUAUUCUUUCCUUAUAGAGUCCAAUCACAAUCCUCUGUUUUUGGUCCCCUGUUUUGGUCUCUGUUUUUCAGAUUGGUCUAAAAAUCCAGAGAAUAGAAAAAAGAUUUGAUUUUUAUCACAAAUCUCGAUAAUAAUUCACAAAAUCCAGUUUUGUUUUCCCAAAAUCAAAUCAAAAAGUCAUUUUUUUUGUUCCCGUUUUACCCUUUUUGAUCAUGGGUUGUGCGAGUUCGAAGCAUCGUAAGCGUUGUCUCCAUUGCCGGAGAGGAUAUUCUCCUCCGGUGGAUGUACAGAGAAGUCACUCAGUGCAUCACGCAUCGCAAAACUCUGAAGAUAGUUGUCACAUGGUGGCUCUAAGUUCCUCAAGCCUUGGAUCUCUCAAGCUAUGUGAUUCUUCUUUUGGGCAUAAUCACAAACACUUGGCGGACUUUAGCGAGAAGCUUGUUUCUGGCGAAUCUGUGAAAACUGGAAAUGGGUUUGGUCCGAAUGUUGUCAGAGAGAAGUCAGAUAAAGAGAAAUCGAAUUUGGAAUUGCAAGCUAAGCUUAUGGAAGCAAAGGUAUGGUCAAGUAUGAUGAAUGAGAAGAUACCGAAGAUUGUACCGAAAACUCCCAUUGUUACGCCUCCUGGUGAGCCAGAAACGAUUAAUACUUGGGAAAUGAUGGAUGGUCUUGAAGAUGUUUUGAGUCCUUUACGAUCACCUAAUCAUGUUAAGAGUUUCUCGUUUGAUGUUGGUCCUAAUGGAGGUAAGUCUAAUGGUAGUGUUAAGCCGGUAUGGCUUCAAAUGGAGGAGGAAGAAGAAGGGUUUGAAGAUUUUGAUCCUGAGAUCAUUUCUUCGUUUAGGAAAUCGCUUCAAGAACUUCCUUCUGAUCAUCCGUUUCACAUUUCGAACCACGAUUUCGAAUUGAAACCGCGGUUCAAUUUCUCUGAUGAGGAAAAGGAGGAGGAGGAACAAAGUGUUGGUAAAGAGAGAGUGAUACUUUACUUUACAAGUCUUAGAGGUAUAAGGAAGACUUAUGAAGAAAGCUGUGAUGUUCGGGUUAUACUAAAAAGCCUCGGGAUUAGAGUGGAUGAGCGAGAUGUGUCGAUGCAUUCGGGUUUCAAAGACGAGUUGAAGGAGCUACUAGGGGAAAAGUUUAACAAAGGUGUUGGGAUUACUUUACCUAGAGUUUUCUUGGGAAGGAAGUAUAUUGGGGGAGCAGAGGAGAUUCGGAAGUUAAACGAAGAUGGGAAGCUUGAGAAGCUUCUUGGAGGGUGUGAGAGGGUGGAAGAAAACCAAAAUGGUAAUGGUCUAGAAUGUGAAGCUUGUGGAGAUGUAAGGUUUGUGCCGUGUGAGACAUGUUCAGGGAGCUGCAAAGUGUACUAUGAAUAUGAAGAUGAUGAUGAUGAUGAUGAUGAAGGUGAUGAUGAUGAAAGUGUUAAGGAAGAAAGAGAGUAUGGGUUUCAAACAUGUCCUGAUUGUAAUGAGAAUGGUCUCAUUAGAUGUCCUGUUUGUUGUGAUUAGUUGUUUGAACAUACACACAAGAAAAGGGAACCUUAAAAUUGUUCUUUUUUUUUGUUUUGUUUACUAAAUUUGAGUUAUGAGUGCUUGAGGGUUUUAUUGCCUCUUAAGUUUUUGUUGUACAUAAAGAGGUCUUUGAUUGUGAAAGUGUAAAAUUGAAACUAGGAAGUGGUGUUGUCUUUUGUUUGAAAGUCUUCUAUUCUUGCUUUAUAUUUGGGUUGACUCAUACAUAUAUUUAAAAGCAGUGUGUAUUGACCGUGUGUAUUGACCGGAGAAAAGGAGAAAUUGUCAAAACUCUUUAAGGGGAUUGUAUUGGAUUCAAGAUUUUAGAUAAUCAUGGGCAUUUGGUUAUCUAUUCAGUUUCGGUUAUAUUCAUUUGGUUAUCGGUUUUUUCGGUUUUUAAAUUUAAUAUCUAUUCGGUUAUUAUGAAAGUUUGGUUCGGUUUCGGUUCUUUCGAUUUUAAGAUUUAAUAUCCAUUUGGUUACUUUACUUUAAAUAUUUUCGGAUAUUACGGUUAUAUUUUUUGAUUUGGUUCAGUUUGGUUAUUUUUGUUUCGGUUUUGGUUCGGUACAUUCGGUUCGGUUUAUUUGUUCAGUCCUAAUUUUAGAGGACUUGGUGGAAUUUAGAAAGGCUUUCAUUGCCACACGGCCCACACCAAUGUAAUCUCAUUCCGUCCAACUAAAUAAGAAACAACAAUGUUCCCAUUUAGCAAGAUGAAAAGUCGAUUAAGAUUACUGAAUCCUCAAUGAAACUUGACGUCUUCUUCUUAGUUCGUAGCGACAAUACGAAAACACAAUCCCACUACUUUGGACAAAUCCAUCUCAACUCAACUUAUAACCCUAAAAAUGUGUAGCUAAGAACACAAAUCCAUCUCAACUCCAGGGCGGAUGCAAUGCAUAAGUAUAGAGGUCAAUUGACCCUAGUGUAAUUAAAAACAAUUGCGGAAGGUUUAUUAACAAUAUUAAAUUGACCCUAAUCCAAUAAAAUAUUGACGCUUGUAAAAUUUUAUCUUAAGAAAUUAUGCUAUACUUUAUAUAAUAUUAAAUCCAAAAAGACUUAUUUUAACUAAGCCUAUUAAUAUAAACUAUUCUAAUAUUAACAUUUAUACGGAGUUAGUCUCAAAAUGAUUUAACUUUUUCUUCCUUAUAUUUAUUUUCUUUUCAAUCUUAGAUAAUGAGUUUCUAAUGACGUUUUAUCUUCUUCUUUCUUAUAUUUGUGAUAAUAUUUUUAUUAUUUUAAACUCUUAAUUAAAAUUUUUUUUGACCCCGAUGAAUAGAUUUUAUUGUUCCGGCAACUUAUAACCCUAAAAAUGUGUAGCUAAGAACACAAACCAGCUAUCCUUAAACUCCUUGAUUAAAAGCUAAGAACACAACCCAACUUAUAACCUUAAAUAUGUGUAGCGAAGAAGACAACCCAGCUAUACUAAAAACCAUCGAAAACUACUUGUUCUAAUUUUGUAUUCUUAUGAUUUAAUAUUUAUUAAUAUUAUACUACGUUCCAUAAAACUAAUUUAUAAAAAGUAUAUAGUUAGAGAACGAAUUAUUUGCUCAUCUUAGGGAUAUUGUUAUCAACGGCAAAUAUGAUUUUCCCAGUUUUACAAAAUAAACAUUUUUGCCUAACAAAACUCAAAAGUUCACUUGAAAUAAUACAAUAUUAUGAUUUAUUAUAAAAUAUAAAAUAAUACAAUAUUAUGAUUUAUUAGAAAAUCAACAUUAUUAAUAAAAUAAUAUUUAGAUAUUUAAAACAAAUUAAAACAUAGAUAAGAUUAAAUAAUAUAGAAAACUUCAUUACUCUUAUCCCACAAAAGUGAAAUUUCAUCGUCCCUUUUGUAACCUUUUGCUCUCACGAUAUCCAUCCAUUUUCCCAUGAAAUAAUAAUGACCAUUUUGGUAUUUUACUAGCGUUACAUGGUAUUCAUUCCCAUUCACAUCUUUAACUAUCACUUCGACACUGUUUCUCAAAUUCAUGACUAAUUCCCAUUCCAUUUCCGGAAGUAUAAAUUGUUCAAACUCUCUUUUUGGUAGAUGAAGCCUAUUAUUAUAAUCGACAUCAGAUUGGGUUAGUCUUUUGUUUAUGAUCAUAGAGUGAUUUGUUUGUAAACUCAACUCCAAAUCGAUAUUGUCUGCCAUUUUAUAAGUAAGUAAUUCUAUAUAUAUUUUUAAUUUGUU